UUUUUUUUUUUUGUUAAGUGGCAACAGAAGCCACCCCACCAACUUUCCGGUUGCAAACCAAGGAUUCCUCUAACGUACACAUAGGAUAGCAAAUAGAGAGUUAGAGACUUCGUUCUUCCCUCUUCUUCCCCCGGGCAAGCCCAUUAUAUUGCUUGCUUGGGAAUCAAUCACCCUAUUGGUCACUGCUCCCUCCGUCAAAAAAAAAACAAGUUAUUCUGUGUUCAAAAUUUGUCUCACUAGUCGGAGAAAAAAAAAGAAGAAGAAAAAACAUAUUCCUUGAAAGCACACACUACUGCAGCUUUGCAACAUGGACACCUACCUACUCCCACAAUUUUGCAGAGUUGAUUACCCCCUUCCCAGCACCUUUAAUCUGAUUAACCUCUUUGACGUUGAAACCAUCCCGGUCGUCCCAGCCAGUAAGAGCCCAUGCUAGCCACAGGGACGCAAACUAAACGCGGCUUUGCAAAUAUAUUAACGUACCGUCGCCGUAUGUGAAUGUGGUGCGCUCCAGCAAAUAAAACCACUAUAAAAACACAUGCUGACCAUCGCAAAAAAGGAAACAAUUAAGUUGAUGCAACUGCGAGGACGCUGACAGGCGUUGGUCGUUGGAGAAGGACCGGCCGGAUGAGGGAGUGAGGAGGCUCAAGAGAUAAAAGUUUGGGGGGUCGGACAUUCGGAUUGGUGGAUUACCAGAUUUGAUCCAGUCUGCUGGGUUCAGCGGUCGACAGAAAUGUUCUAUUCCAGUUGCCGCAGGAUGGAUAGAAUACAGCAGAAGUUAUGAGGCUAUGAGGUGAUGCAGCCAUGAGCCAUGCAGAGACUGGAACCCACUCGACCCGCGUCGCCUAGGGGUGACUUGGGCGGCGCCGCAUCCCCCACCGCUAGUGCCGCCCCCUCCUCUCCGCCUCGCCACCGCCGGAGCUCGCCGGUGGAAGCCCAUCCAGCCGCAAUGAGGACGGCGGCGGGCGCAUCUCCUCUCCCACGAAACCCCAUCUUCCCCCUCCGCAUCCUCCCCCACCCUCUCAUUUGUUGGUGGCGGCUGACGCCCCUGGAUCCAGCAAGUCCAGAUCUAGCAUCGGCAUGCCCGGAUCCGGCGCCACCCUGGUCGUUGGGGCCUCUCCUAGCGGUUCCCUAUGGGAGGGCGCUAGCAGCUCCGCAGGGACCCGUGGCCACGACGGCUGGCGAUGACGGUGGCAGGGUGGCGGUGGCGGCCCACGGUAGGAUAGGGGCACGCAUGGAGCCAACCUCUCCUAGGUUGAGCUCCGAGUGGAGGGCGCUUUCUUCACCUCCAGUGGCCGCCACUGUGGGGAGCUUGCCUCCGAUUGCCGUCCUCCCUUCAGGUCCUAUGGCCGUGCAAUGCUUUUCGUGGUUGUGCAGGUUCCCGGGCGAAAGCCUAGCUCGGUCCUCGACCAUUUGCCGGUGAUGACAGUGCUAGGGGCAUCGUUUUCCUUCUUGAAGGCGUUACCAUGAGAACCGCAACAUACAAGGAUAGAUCCAGGUGAAAACCAGAGAACCGACUUGCUGGUUCGGGCGGAGGCGGUAUCGAGAUGUUGCUCUCCUCAGAGGCGUUGUCUUGGAGUUCUUGAUGGUGACACCAUGAUCAGCUUGGAGCAAUGGCGGUGCCCGAUCUGUUUUGCGUGGUAGAGAUCGACUCAGUGCGGUUUCUAGACGACAUGGGUUGCCAGGCAGCACAUGACCAUCGAUGAUCCUUACAUCAAAAGUUUCUAAGAAGACAGCUGAUGUGAGAUGUUCGUCACUGCAUAAUGACCAAAGCAAGGUUGAAGGAAGGACAUAGAAGAAGUUCGAAGCUUAAUCUUUCAAGCUUUCUUUCUUAUUUUCUUUCUUUCUUGUCUUUUGUGUUCCUUGAUUGGAGGUUUAGAGUCUAAGUACUCGUAUAGCUUCUGGUUAUGUGGCAGGAUGUGUUACUUUAUGAUCGUAGAUAUUCACAUGUUAAUGUUCCAGAACGGAUGUUUUUCCUUAAUUUAAAAAAAAUGAGCCAUGCAGAGGGAGCUAGCCAAAAAGGAUGACUGGCAGGUACGAGCAAGUCCUCCGGUUUGGCUUUGUGGCAGCUCCCGCCCCCCAAAAAAAACCUGGAAAGGACACCUGUACGUGCUGAAGUAGCCGUAAAAUACAAGGGCUGAUCGAUCUAUACCUAGUCAACAGUCACUAGUGGUAUAAUGCUAUAAUCAGAGAUAGCGGCGAGUCAACUCAAAGGUGGCGAGCAGGUUGCCAGGGAAACAGGACCGGCAGCCUAGGGAUCGCAUGCUUGUGCCACGAGCUUUAGUUAGUGAAAUUGAAGUUCAGUGCCACGAAUUGCCACGUCCCGUUUUAAUCAGUGAGAGGAAAGGAGGAAUGACCCGUGACCGCGAGCAAGAUCCCCUGGCAAUGUCACAUGAAUUUCACAAUUCCUAGAUAACAGAUCAUUCGGCUUAGCUAAGCUGAAAAGUUGUGACGACAAUUACUUUCAGUGGCGCGUAAGGGAUGACGAACCCCAGGUGGCGGCGUGGCACAGCAAGGACGACAUCAAUUUUUUUUUCAGUGGCGGAUUGAGAAUUUCUCCAACACGGUUAAUGACAUGCAGGGUGAAAUAUUAGGACCCUUUGCAGUACCCUCUUCUUCCUCGCAGCUUCAAUAUCGACGCUUGCUUGGGGAUCAAGAACUAACCCUGGUCACUAGCCAGAGCAGAAAAUUCCAUAGCACAAUAUACACACUACCACACAGCACGAUGCACAGAUGCCUACCUACUCCUAGCUAGUACAAUUUUGCAGAUCGAGUUGAUUAUCCCCUGGCCAGAACACACCAAAUUUUAAAUCUGAUUGACCAUUUUUGCCGUUGAAACCAUCCUAGCCAGAGCCAGGAGAACCAAUAUAAUACGCAAACGCGCCUUCUGCAAAUACAGUAACAACAAGUCCGUCGUCACCGUGCAUCCAGACCACAUGCAGCGCACUCCAGCCAAUAAAACCACUAGAGAAAACACGCGCUGACCUAACAUAACUAGAUUGCAUGAACAUGGGUCAAAGGCAGCAUCAAGUUGCAUUGCUGCAAGCCUGCAACUACCAGGACAUUGACAGGCGCGGCGCUGGAGCUGGAGCUGGAAAAGGACCGGCCGGCCGGAUGAACGAAUCGGAUGAGGACACGGCACGAAUUUGGGGCUAUCGGAUUUGAACCAGUCCGAUGGAUUGAGCAGGCGCUGAAAAGGUGCAAUGCAAGUUGCAGUAUACAAAAAUACAGCAGAGCUACACAAGUUUAUGGGAGGUGGCGAACUGGCGAUGGGCAGAAUGGCUGAUGCAGGCGUGCCGGAAGGACAGGCUUGUACGAAUAUAGCUUAAUUGUCUUAGUUCCUGUCGUGGAACCUACUUUGAGUUUUCAGAAUUUGUUUCAAAAAUUAACUACUUUGAGUUCCUGUCUAUCGAUAACUAGAUUCUUGUGAUGACAGUGCAAAGAAGUAGAUGGGAAAACACCACACACCUUAAUGAGGGGGUGACCUCUGUAUAUAUGGCCAAUAUGGCUUGGAGUACGAGGAAUACAUCAAGUGUACAAGGAAAGAAUAAAUACAUCAUAAAAUACACAUAUAAUUCCUAAUACCCGCCUGCAGUCGAAGCGGGAGGAUUACGGACACACAGACUGGACCGAAACUCAAUAAACAAAGGAGUUGGCAGGCCAUUCGUCAUGAUGUCAGCGAACUGAUGAGAGGAUGGCACAUGGAGGACCCGGACCUCACCUAAGGCCACCUUCUCACGGACGAAGUGAAUAUCAAUCUCGAUGUGCUUCGUGCGUCGAUGAUGCACCGGGUUGGCUGUCAUGUAGACAGCACUCACGUUGUCGCAGUAGACAACAGUGGUCGAAGCAAGCGAGACAUGAAGCUCUUGAAGAAGUUGGCGCAGCUAGCAACACUCUGCCACAGCACGAGCCACGGCCUGGUACUCCGCCUCAGCACUGGAACGAGACACUGUGGUCUAGCGCUUGGAGGACCAAGACACCAGAUUGUCACCGAGGUAGACGCAGAAGCCGGAGGUGGAGCGUCUAGAGUCUGGGUAGCCAGCCCAGUCGGCGUCGGAGUAGGCAGUCAGAGACUGAACAGGACCAGUGCCGAUGUGAAACCCGGAGGAGGGCGUGCCCUUCACAUAGCACACGAUGCACUUGAUCAGGGCCAUGUGGGGCUCGCGCGGGUCAUGCAUGAAGAGACACACCUAUUGAACCGCAUACGCCAGAUCUGGUCAAGUUAGAGUGAGGUACUGAAGGACCCCAGCAAGACUCUGAUACUCAGAGCCGUCCUGGAGCAUGGCGUCGUUGUGUGCCGAAAGCUUAGCAUGAGUGUCAACGGGAGUCGUUAUAGAGUGACACUCAGCCAUGCCAGCACGCUGAAGAGUAUCGAAAGCGUACUGUCGCUGAGAUAGGAACAGGCCCAGGGAGAAACUUGUGAUGGAGAUGCUGAGGAAGUGGUGUAGAUCGCCAAGAUCCAUCAUGGCGAACUCGGAGUAAAGACGCCCCAUGAUGUGCCAAAGAAGAGUUGAGGACGACGCGGUGAGGACGAUGUCAUCGACGAUGUCAGCCAUGGCACUGCGAUAGUUUGCCAGAAUCGGAGAGGGCAGAGAAGAAGUCGAGGCUGUCAUACCGUAGUAAUGGCGCCGUUGUAUUGCCCCAGUCACAGACCGAGUGACAUGGCGCGGAGGGGCAGGUGGCGAUGAGGAGGGCGCGGGCGCCACGGGCGCGGAGGGAGGACUGGGGGCACUCGCCCGACCGGUCGGAGCGCUCGCCGAUGCGGUCGGGGCGUUCGCCGGAGCGGUCGGGCGUGCGCCCGACUGAGCAGGGCGCUCACCAGUGCGGUCGGGGUGCUCUCCCGACCGAGCAAGGCACUCAACGGUGCGGUCGGGGCGUGGGCCCGACCGAGCGGGGCGCCCACCGGUGCGGUUGGGGUGCUCACACGACCAAGCGGGGCGCUCACCAAUGCGGUCGGGGCGAGCACCGGUGCGGUCGGGGCGUGCACCCGAUCGAGCGGAGCGCUUGCCGGCGCGGUCGGCAUGUCCACCCGAACAAUCGGAGCGGGCGGCGGUGCGGUCGGGACGUGCGCCCGACCGAGCGGAGCACUCACUGGUGCGGUUGCAGUGGGCACCGGUGCAGUCGGGGCGCUCACCUGACCGAUCGGAGCACGCGCCGGUGCAGUCGGGGCCGCAUCCGCGAGUGGCGCGUUCGCGAUCGGAGCAGGUCGGAGCGCGGUGGAGAGCGGCGACCUGCUCGCAGUCAGAGCGGGGGACACGGUCGGCCCGUGAAACAGGAUGGUGGGGUCAUCGUUGGUAAGUUCCUGCAAAACAACUGAUGAGAGUCGCGGCUGCUCAACGUCUGACGACGGAGCGACCGAGGUAGAAGCAGAAACAUCAAAGAGGAUCAACAAAAGGAAGUCGAGCUGCGAUGGGUGAGUAGGAUGGGAGGAGAAGGGAAAGACAGACUCGUUGAAGACAACAUGGCGAGAGAUGAUGACUCGACUGGUGGACAAGUCAAGGCAGCGGUAUCACUUUUGAGAGGAGGGAUAACCGAGGAAGACACAUGCGGCUGAGCGAGGAGCAAACUUGUGGCGUGCCGUGGCUGAAAGGUUGGGGUAGCAAAGACAAUCGAAGACACGCAAGUGAGAGUACUUGAGAGGCUAGGAAUAAAGGAGGCAGUAGGGGAUAUCAUUCUGAAUGGCAGAACAUGGGUGCCGGUUCAGAAGAUAGGUGGCGGUGGCGAGCGCCUCGGCCCAGUAUGGAGCAGCCAUGGAGGCGUGAAUGAGCAAUGUGCGAGUCACGUUAUUAAGGGUGCGGAGGACGCGCUCAGCUUUCCUAUUUGGGGGAGAAGUGUAGGGACACAAGAGGCGCAAGUGGAUGCCCCGAAGAGUCAAAAAAGAAGUGAGAGGUUUAUUGACAAACUUGGUCCCGUUGUCAGCUUGGACGAUUCGAACAGGAAGACUAAACUGCGUGUGAGCAUAGGUGCAGAAAUCAGUGAUGUGUGAGGUGACUUCAGACUUGUGAACUAGAGGAAACGUCCAACAAAAACGUGAGAAGUCAUCCAAAAUGACUAGGUGGUAGCGAUAACCAGAGACGCUAACUAGGGAGAAGUCCAAACAUCACAGUGAACUAACUCAAAAGGCGUAGAGCUGCGAGAGUUAGAAUGUGAGAAAAGUAACCACACAUAUUUCCCUAACUGACAUGAAUGGCAUAGAGUAUGACUAUCUUUAUUACAAGCAAUGGAUGAAGUCUGUCUAAGUGUGGUGAUGGCAGCAGGACCGGGAUGACCAAGACGGAGAUGCCACAAACUGGAGAAGAUGGCGAGGUCGGCGUGGGGUGCUACAAAGCUGCCUGCUGGAGGCAUGGUGUAAAGAUCGCCAUCGCUAUUGCAGCGAAGAAUAACGUGUCUGGUCGGAAGAUCCUUGACAAAAAAACCAAAAGCGUCAAACUCUAUGGUGCAGUUAUUGUCCUUAGUAAAUUGACGAACAGAAAGCAUAUUACGAACCAAAGAAGGAACAACAAGGACAUUAUUAAGAUGAAAGUGAGAGGUGGGGGUGGUAAGGGUGGAGUUGCCAUGGCACGUGACAGCAAGGGUAUGACCAUUACCGAUGAUAAUGGAGGAGUGAGAGGGAGGGAGUCGGGAAAGAAGAAUACCAUCCAAGAAUGACAUGUGGCCGAAGGCACCUGAGUCAACCACCCAAUCGCUGUUCUUAGCGCUAUCUGGUUCAGGGCAGCGACCAGACCCGCCUAGUCCCAGGUUGACGCCUGAGUGGACGCUUGAACAGGGGCGUAGGCGGCGUGAGCCUGCAGAGGGGGGCCGAGGAGACCAAGGGCGCCGGGGUGCCAGCCCCCACCACCGCCAGCCUGCUGGAAACUCGUGGCGUCGUAGGAGCUGACCUCGGGACUGAAACAGAACCACGAGAUGGUAGGCCAUGGGGGCUCAUCGCCGUGAGAGUUGCCGCCGCCAGGGGGCACCUAGAAGCCGUCGCCGCCCUUAUUCGGCCACUUCUUCUUGCCACCGCCACCGUCGCUGCCGCUGCAGCCGCGGCUACUGCUGCUUCCGCCGCCACCCAUCUAGAUAGAACCAGACGUCGAGCGACACCCGCCCGUACAGCCGGAGGACGAGGAGGUCCCGGCGAGGAGGGUAGUGGAGUUGGAGAUCUUCUCCUUGUUGGCAAGGCGAAGUUCUUUCAGGACGAGCAUGUCCCACGCCUGGGCGAAGGACGGGAAGCCAGCAGAGGAGUUGGCGAUGUCGUCAGUGGUGUUGGAGAAGUGCGGAUUGAGGCCGUGGAGGAGGUUCAGGACAAUUUGGGAGUCCUGAACGGGAUGGCCGACGUCACAGAGGGCGUCGGCGAGGGUCUUCAUGCGGCUGCAGUACUCGGCGAUGGUGGAGUCACCCUGCGUCAUGGAGUGGAAGUCGUGGUUGAGGAAGAUUACCCGGGACUGCUUGUUGGCGCAAAAGAGACCCUCGAUGGCGAGCUAAAGAUCCCUGACAGUCUGAUCGUCAUCGGUCAUGGCGAGGUCGAGGACGGAGUCGUCGACGGAGCUGAAGAACUAGGAGCGGAGGCAGCAAUCCGCUUGAUCCCAGUCGGGGUCCUGGGGUCGGGACGCCACCGUGCCAUCGAUGUGUGACUUAAGGCCGAACUUGCCGCACAUGGACUUGAAGAAGGACGCCCAUCGAGAGUAUGCGUUGGACUUCAUCGUCGGCGUCACGGGAACGUGAGACUUGACAGAUACGGUGGCGUAGGGGUAGACGGCGAGCGGCGGCAGCGGGUACACGAUGAAGCCACCGCCGCAGUUGCCGGCGACGAGAAGCCUGGGGCGUAUCGCCAGAGGAGCCACCAGUGGCAGGUGGCGGCACAGAUGCACCGCCGUGGGCAGCAGGGUGUGGUUCAGGAGGCGGCACAGGAUUAGCAGCAAGAGCGGUGGUGUCGUCGGACUUAGAGGAGUCAGCGGAGAACAUGGCGCAUGACCGGAGGGGGGAGCCGGUCGGGGAACUGGUCGGGGAGGGGGGCCAGUCGGGGAGGUGCAGCGGAGGGUGGGUGGUGGCGGGAUAGCAGGGGGCGCUGCCUAGGGUUGCGCGGAGCAGGGGAAGGCGCAGGGAGAGGAGGCCCACGAUCUUAAUCUCAUGAUACCAUGUAGAGAAGUAGAUGGGAAAACACCACACACCCUAAUAAGAAGGGGUGGCAUCUAUAUAUAUGACCAAUAUGACUUGGAGUAUAAAGAAUACAUCAAGUGUACAAGGAAAGAAUAAAUACAUUCUAAAAUACACAUAUACUUCCUAAUAAAAAGACCAGCUAGUCUCGAAUAGGCAUUCAUAGUGAUAGGGUGUGUGUUUGUGUACAUAUAUGGAAGCAUUUGUUUGCGUUGUGUUUCUAAAGAAAAUGGCCCCAUGUGUCAUGUCGUGGAGGCAUAGUUUAAUUUUGUCCCCUUCCUCAUUGAUCAAGAAUAAACACGGCACACGAAAGGAGAACAGAUUGAUCAUAUACGCACGCACUAAAACAAACAAAUAUGCUCUCGCCCUUGUUUUGCUCGAGUCUCGAUCAUUAAAAAAGGAGAGGGGCCGAGCGGAAAUAUUUAAUCUGAUUUGUAUCCAUUUUAUAUAUGAAGCCAAAUUUCCAAAAAGGGCACAAGUCUUGAAAUAUAAAAUAUUUGAACAGAAGUGUGGAGAAUAUAGCAUAGGGAAAUAGCCGGAGUGAUGCAUCAUUUUGUCAGGUUCCACGGGCACAUCCCAGAAGCAUUCAUAAGCAGGCAGCACAGUGCCCCCCUUACAGAGCCCAUCCGACCACCAACUCUUGAUCACAAGCACUAGCCGCCAUGGCCGCGGCUGCCCUCCGAACGGAGCGCGCACAAUUCCAGCAGCGACUCCUGCUCGGUGUCGGCUCCGCAAGUUAGCGCUGAUCACCCCCAGUUCGCCGCAUUUCGGCAUCCGCACAGAUUCUGCCGAGGAAUUCAUGGCGCGCCACGGAGCAGGAACAUCUGUGCGCCGUCGCUGUAUAGUAGUUUGUCGAGCCGUCAUGUCAUGGCGGCGCGCGCUCCUGCUGUUCCUGCUCGCCUCGCCGUUCUUCCUGUGCGAUGCGGACUCGGCGCAGGGCGAGGCCGAGGCGCUCGCGAGGUGGAAGGACAGCCUCGCCCCCGCGGCGGCCGCCGCGCUCGCCUCCUGGUCGCUGCUGAACGGCUCCGCGGUGGCCGCCGCGCCGCCGGCGCCGUGCUCGUGGCGCGGCGUGUCGUGCGACCCCCUCGGCCGCGUCGUGGGGGUCGACGUGGCCGGCGCGGGCCUCGCCGGCACGCUCGGCGCCCUGGACCUGUCGUCCCUGCCCAGCCUCGCCAGCCUCAACCUCAGCUCCAACGCGCUGACGGGGCCGGUCUUCCCGUCGAACAUCUCCGCGCCGCUGCUCAGCUUCAGGUCCGUCGACCUGGCGAACAACAACUUGUCGGGUCCGAUCCCGGCGACGCUGCCGGCGUACAUGCCGAACCUCGAGCACCUCAACCUCUCGUCCAACCAGUUCGCCGGCGGAAUACCGGCGACCCUCGUGAAGCUGACCAAGCUUAAGAGUCUUGUCCUCGGCUCUAACAACCUCGUCGGCGGCAUACCGGCGGUGCUUGGAAACGUCACCGGGCUACGAGAGCUCGAGCUGUCCAACAACCCGUUGGGCGGCACGAUCCCCGCUGCUCUCGGCAAGCUCCUGUCCCUGGAGCACCUCAACGUCAGCCUCACUCAGCUGGAGUCAACGAUUCCAACCGAGCUCAGCCUCUGCACCAACCUCACCGUCGUCGGCCUCGCGGCGAACAAGCUCUCCGGCGGGCUGCCGCCGUCGCUGGCCAAGCUGACAAAAGUACGGGAGUUCAACGUCUCCAAGAACAUGCUCACCGGCGAGGUACUGCCGGACUACUUCACGUCGUGGACCGAUCUCAGGGUGUUCCAGGCGAACGGCAACCGUUUCACCGGCGGGAUUCCACCGGAGGUUGCGACGGCAUCGAAGAUGGAGUUCCUCUCCUUGGCGACCAACAACCUCUCCGGCACGAUCCCGCCGGUCAUCGGGAAGCUGACGAGCCUCGAGGUGCUGGACCUCUCCGAGAAUGAGUUUUCCGGCGCGAUCCCCCGGGCGAUCGGCAACCUCACGAGCCUCAGGGUACUGAGGCUGUACGACAACAAGCUCACCGGCCGGUUUCCGGACGAGUUCGGGAACAUGACGGCGCUGCAGAGGCUGUCGAUAAACACCAACAUGCUGGAGGGCGAGCUGCCGGCGGGGCUCACCCGGCUGCCGAACCUCCUCGGCAUCGUUGCCUUCGAUAACCUGCUCUCCGGCGCCAUCCCGCCGGAUUUCGGCCGGAAUCUGUCCAUCUUCAGCAUGUCGAACAACAAGUUCUCCGGCAGGCUGCCCCCGGGGCUGUGCAGCACGCCGCGCCUCCAGUACCUCUCCCUCGACGACAACGACAUCUCCGGCGUCGUGCCCGCUUGCUACCGCAACUUUACCAGGCUGGUGCGGUUCCGGAUGGCGCGGAACCGGUUGUCCGGCGACGUGUCGGAGAUCUUGGGAUCGCAUCCUGACCUGUACUACGUUGACAUGUCCGGGAACUCGUUCGAUGGCGAGCUCCCGGAGCACUGGUCUCAGUUCAAGAGCCUCUCGUACCUGCACUUGGACGGUAACAGGAUCACCGGGACAAUUCCGGAUAGCUACAGUUCCAUGGCUGCAUUGGAAGACUUGAGCCUCGCAUCGAAUCGUCUAGCCGGCAUGAUACCGCCGGAGCUCGGUGGAUUGCCGUUGCUCAAGCUGGAUUUGAGUCACAACAUGCUGUCGGGACAGAUCCCUCUGGCACUCGGGAACGCCACGCGGAUGCUACGGCUGGACCUGUCCGGCAAUCGUCUCGACGGUGGCGUGCCGGUGGAGCUGACCAAACUUGCCCACAUGUGGCACCUGAACCUGAGCAGCAACAACCUGACCGGGAGAGUCCCGGCUCUGCUCGGAAAGAUGGCCUCGCUGCAGGAGCUGGAUCUUAGCGGCAACCCGGGCCUGUGCGGCGACAUCGCCGGCCUGAAUCCCUGUCGCCUGGAGCCCAUCAGAGGCUCCUCCAAACGCCACAUCGCGAGGCGGCGGUUUAUCAUCGCCGCCACCGCGGUCUCCGCCGCGGCGCUAAUGACCUCUGUUAUGGCCGUGGCGGUGUGCGCUCUGGCCCGCAGGAGGAGGAGGAGGCGGGCUGGUAAGGACAGCACGGACACGGCGGCGAGCGGCGGCACGGCGGCUCCGACGGCCUCCGUCUGGGGCAAGGACGCGGAAUUCUCGUUCGGCGACAUCCUGGCGGCGACGGAGCACUUCAAUGAGUCCUACUGCAUCGGCAGGGGCAGCUUCGGGAGCGUGUACCGCGCCGACCUGCCCGGCGGCCACAGCCUCGCCGUGAAGCGCCUGGACGCGUCGGAGACCGGCGACGCGUGCUGGGGCACCAGCGAGAAGAGCUUCGAGAACGAGGUCCGGGCGCUGACCCGCGUCCGGCACCGGAACAUCGUGAGGCUGCACGGGUUCUGCGCCGUGGGCGGGCACAUGUACCUGGCGUACGAGCUCGUGGAGCGGGGCAGCCUCGGGAAGGUGCUGCACGGCGCCGGGCGGAGCUGCGAGCGGUUCGGCUGGGCGGCGCGGGCGCGCGCGAUCGGCGGGCUCGCGCACGCGCUGGCCUACCUCCACCACGACUGCUCGCCGCCGGUGGUCCACCGCGACGUGACCGUCAACAACGUGCUGCUGGACACGGACUUCGAGGCCCGGGUGUCGGACUUCGGCACGGCGAGGUUCCUCGCCCCCGGCCGCUCCGACUGCACCAGCGUCGCCGGCUCCUACGGCUACAUGGCGCCAGGUAAAGACCCUGCAACCUGCAUUCGCAAUGGCUGCACGGUAUAGUGCAAUGGGCCCCUGCAUCUUCCGUUUCUGACAAAUGGUGGAAGCAGAGCUGGCGUACUUGAGGGUGACGACCAAGUGCGACGUGUACAGCUUCGGGGUGGUGGCGCUGGAGAUCCUGAUGGGCAAGUACCCGGGCGGACUCAUCAGCUCGCUGCACUCGAGGCUGCCCGAGGAGCAGCAGGCCGGCGGGUCGCUGCUGCUCAAGGACGCCGUCGACCAGAGGCUGGACCCGCCCGGGGGGCAGGUUGCCGGGCGGGUGGUGUUCGCGUUCGUGGUGGCGCUGUCCUGCGUCCGGGAGGACCCGGACGCCCGGCCGACCAUGCGGAACGUCGCGCAGGAGCUCUCGGCGCGGAGGCUGCCGGUGCUGGACAGGCCCUUCGCCGCGAUCAGGGUCGCCGACCUGACUGGUUCACGCGGAUAGCGCGCUGCAGGAUUUGUACAGAAGCAGAAUUGUUUGCAAGGACCUCGAGGCUCGGAUUAACUUGGAUUGUUCAGUGAGUGAUUGCAAGUGAAGUGGCGGAUUGAAACUUCGAAGUGACAGAAAUUGAAAAGCUCGAACUCGAAGUGGAUCAGAACGGUUACUGUUUUCGUUCAAUGGCGACGCGCCACAAUCCUACUACGACUGCUUAUAGGAUCAAGCGUCCAUGGCGAUGUGACGGAACAUGACACAAAUGUCACAGCGCAUUUUAUGAUCUCGUAAACUUCAGCCAGGCCAAAAAAGUUAAAGAACAUACGACCUUGCUACUCAAUUUAUUAAAUGCAUUCCACAAGAACCGUGACAAAUCACGUCCACGAGAUACUUCCAUAUAACUCCAAAUGUACGAAAGAGGAUCAAAAAUUGUCAAAAUUGCAAAGCAAGCAGCACGGCUCCAAAAAGGAGAACAUAUAACAGAAGUUUCAGGGUACAGUAUAGAAGGUGUUCGCAUUUCACUAUAGUCGCGCGCCAAAGCUUCACUCGUCAUCACCGAAUGUUGUCUUCUUUCCUGAAAAAAAAAAUGAAGCAUAUGUAACAGCAGUCCCAAAUCAAGAGGACCCAACAAACGCAGCUGCGAUGUAACAGUUUAGUUUACCUGUACUAGCUGUACCAGCGGUCUGCCUGAACGGCGUGCCCCGGCCUCUGUCGCCCCUUCCACCCCUACCUCCAAAUCCGCGUCCACGUCCUCCAUCACGUCCACGGCCGCCACCUCGGCCCCUGUCACUCCUCCCUCCUCUUCCACUGAAACUUCCACGCCUGUCGCCACUGAAGCCACCAUCUCUGUUAUUAUCAGGUCUAGGCUUCGCCUCAUCAACGUACAAGCUGUAGCCACCAAGGUCACUUCCGUUCAGCUCAUAUGCUUUAUUCAAGGAAUCCGGGUCCUUGAAGUCCAUGUAUGCCAUCCUGCAAAACCAAGCAAAGCCUCAUUUCAACGACAAGAAUGGAGGUAGAAAUGGUUGCUUUUCAAAAUAUACAUAUUAUUAGCCUCAAACAGUUCCUCACAUAUAUUGUGCCCCAAAACAGAGCCUCAAUUUAAGUGUAAACCAUUGAUAUGUGAAGAGCCAACUGACCCUUUGCAUGCACCAGUUUCAUAAUCCUUUGGAAUUGAAACACGAGUAAUCUCUCCACAUGAGCCAAAAAGUCCUUCAAGCGCGCUUCGGAUCUGGCAAAGAAAGUGUCAGAUGUAAUAUAAAGAGAAAUUGUUCCAGAAAACAGAAACACAAUGAUGACAAAAGGAACUUAAAAAUUACCUGGUCCUCUCCACUAGAUGUGUCAAAGCCUUUAAUAAAUACAGUGUUGCCAGACCUUGGAGCAAACUUCUUGAAAGAACUGUUGUCCCUCCUGCGCAAUACACAAUAUAUUCAGGCCACACUGAUAAUUGAUAAUAAUGAAAGAAAAGCAUUCCCACACGAGAACCAGCAAAUAUGACAUAGAGAAUCACCCGCUGCCAGGAGUGUAUGCACCCCUCUCAAGGGCCAGGUCGACCCUAACAGGCCGCCCCAUCAGGUCAUGAUUAGCAAAUUCAAGUGCCUAAAAUGAGAAAUAAAGAGUUCAUUAGCAAAUUCUUCCAUGGAUGCAUCAAAUGUCAGAACCAGUUGGCAUCAAAUAGAACUUGAUUGCGUGAGGUGUUCUGAUCUUGUAACAGAUGAACUAAGCUGCAUUGGAUAACAAAAUAGUAAAAUGAUUUUUCACCUUCUGAGCAGCUUCAGCUGUAGCGAAUUCAACAUGACCAUAGCCCUUGAAGCUCCCAUCCUCAAAAGUAGACAGACGAACAUCUACAACCUCACCAGCCUCCUCAAAAAAUUGCUUACUACAGGAUGUGGAAAAUAGAUGUUAGUGGCAACACAGUUCAAAAGAAAGAAAGAAAGAAAGAAAUUGACCCACUACACAAACUUACACUUGCUCACGCUCUAUACUAUAGGAUAAAUUCCCAACAAAAAUCGUCUUUGAUCCAGUAGCCUGACUUUGGUUUUUGGUAGGAGUUUUGGCCUGCAGGAAAUUAGAUACUUGUCAAACAUCCAUUUAACGUGAAACAGCCUAGUUAAAGAAUAGUUAGAUGGUAGAAAUACUUCAUUCUGUGCCGACUUUGUCUUGGGAGUUUCAACUUCUACUUUUGGCUUUACCUGUUGUUUUUCAAACAGCAUAUAAAAAAUUAGAUCACGUCCAUCAUAAGUUUAUCCACCAUAGAAAAAAUAUCAAGCAUGUGAGGAUAUCCAGACUUCAAUUUCGUUAUCAUCAUCAGAGCUUUCUUCACUUUCAUCAUCAGAGCUUUCGUCACUGCUGCUUUCUUCUUUCUUUGGAACCUUAGUGGCAGGCUUUGCAGCACCAGAAGGUGCCGAGUUCUGCAGAUACAAGAGACAGUAAAUAAGUGAAACAAAAUCCUCAAAAGGCAGAGUGGACAAGAAGAGAUUACCUUAGGCUUCUUUUGAGGAGGCUCCUCAUCACUUUCAUCAGAACUCUCAUCCGAACUAUCAUCAGAAUCAUCACUGGACUGAAGAGAGAGAAAACAGUUUGUAUUGAGUGGCAGCAAUAUAAUAUGUAUAUCACAGACAAGUAAAGAUUCCAACCAUUGAAAGGUCUAUUGUAAUAUGAAAGUAUUCAAAGCAUAUUUUUUAUAUGGCACCAAAAGCCACUUUUUGUACACUGAAUAUAAAUAUAAUUUGAAUUACAGGGGGUUAAACUUUGACUUUUUCAAAUCAAAAUAGGCCUUAUAAAGCGGCACCAAUUAACAGUCAAAAGGCACAAGAUUAACAAGAGAAAGCAUACUUGUCCAUUCUUCUUCUCUGUUGCUAGAGGCCUCUUUGCAGCGAUAGUAGGCUUUUCAGGCUGCAAAGACAAGGGAGACGGAUUUGAAAAUUUGCACAAUAGAGAAUUAACAAGAGUAAAGAAAUAAUAGUGACACUUACUUCAUCAGAAUCUGAAUCUGAAUUUGUCUCAGAGUCAGAUUCUGAGCUAUCACUAGAUUCCUCUUUCUUCUUCGGACCAGCAGCCUUGGCAGGCUGUACUUUUUUAGCAUUGUUAUCCUGGAGGCAGAUAGAAAACUUAGCUGUAUAAGAAAGUGAUUUCAUGUAUGAAGCCUCUACCAACUUAUGUAGUAGGUUGCUACCUCAUCCUCGGACUCAGAUUCACUCUCAGAAUCAGAACUCUCACUCGAUUCUUCCUUUUUCUUGGUUGCUACUGGAGCUUUAGCAGGCAAAUCCUGCAGAUAUUGCUCAUGUUAGGACAACUGAAACUAUUUUUGAACACAAACUAUGAAAGGUAAUCAAAAUCAAGGGACUACUGCAACAUGUGAAUCCACAAGUACAUUACCUCAUCUGAUUCAUCAUCAGAAUCACUGUCAGAGCUAUCAGACUCUUGGGUCUUCUUUUGUGCAGAGGCAACUGAAGGCUUCUUUAGCUGAGCAGCAGGCUUCUGAAAAGCAAGAAAGUGAAACAAAUGUCAGUGAAGAAGGGCAGCAACUGCAGAGACACUGCAUAAAUAUUCCAAGACAGCGGUGUCUGAUUGUACAUUAGUACAAGGAUCAAACAUUACACGUGGGUUUUCCACUGGAACAUAUUAAUCUUCCUGCUCGCUUGAGCUUAUCAGCCGCUGUGGCUGCAGCUGCAGCUGCGGCUGGCAGCCAGCCAUUCGGCAGCUGGCACAAGCAGCUGCCGUAGCAGCCUAGCGAGCAGGUGCUGCAGCCUCCUUUGUCAACACAGGUGCUGCAGCCAGCACUACCGAACACGUGAAUUAAACUUAUUCUUUAGUUUUACAAAGAAACAGAAGACAUUAGUAAAUUCAGCAAAAGGUGGACUUAAUGUUCUAUCUUCUCCUAGAAAGGAGUUCUCAGAACAUUUCAUUUAAGUAUUAGUUGUGAAACAGCAUUUAGCUCGUCAGAGCUGUGUACAUUUUUAAAACAUGGAAGAUCACAAAUAACAGUACUUAUGAAAAAAAAUUCAUAACAGUACUGGGAAGCAACCUUGAAAACAAUAGCAUAUUUUGAUCCUUGCAGGUCCAGAAAAGCACAUAAUAUACACAGCAAGAUCAUGCACAGGUUGCGCAGGCGAUGGUAAGAAAAAACAUUCAAGAUUCACAUUUGAAGGUAAAAUAGGAAGCAAAUACUUACUUCAUCCUCGUCAGAUUCUUCAUCCGAGCUACUGUCAGAGCUGCUGCUGUCAGACUCAACCUUUUUGGAACCAUUACUAACCACUGCAGCAGGCUUCUUUGUAAGGGUAGUGGGCUUCUUUGCAGGUUCUUCAUCAGAACUGCUAUCAUCACUGUCACUGCUCUCAUCGCUGCUGCUGCUGCUAGCAGCAGCAGCUGGAGGUUUAUUUGAAGUAGCAACUGGUUUUUUUGAAGGUUCCUUAAUUGAACCAAAAAUAAGUAUGGAUAAUGUUGUAAGAAAGAAGGCCCCAAAAGAAAGUGAAUAAUGCUUACAUCAUCUGAGGAGCUCUCAUCACUGCUGUCAUCACUGGUCUCCUCUUUAGCAGGUUGCGUGCCUUUCUUUGGUUGAGUAACCUUCUUUGGCUGGACCUCAACCUGCAAUGAUUUUUCUUUUUCUAUUAAGUUGAAAAUAGAAAUCAAAAGAAUACAAGGAUCCCACCCAUACACUAGUUUACCAUUAAGCCUGAGGACACCAAUGCCAUAAAACAUUCUCUGUCGUGCAUACCAAUGAAAAAUCCAAAAAGGUGCAAAACUAAGUCGCUUUUUAGACACGAUUGCUGUUUACACCACAGGUAUUAACAGCAUGAAACUACAAUGCAACCAUCUAACAACGAACGAAUGUCAAGGUUGUUCUAACAACAAAUUAACCUCAAUUUUAGAUAUUCUGACAACGGCAUACAGAUACCAACCAAUACUAGCCUCAAGGAUUACUGUUUUUGCUUGCUGGCAUAUAGAUUUCUAUGUAAUUGUUUGUUUUAAAAAUAACAUUAAAUCUUGCCUCACAUUCAAUAAGGCAUCUGCAAUGGGUAAAUAUGAGUUACCACAACUGCAAGCUUGACUGUCAAAAGUUUCAAGGAAUAAAAGUAAAUCAACCAAUAGCACGCAGCGAAUAACAACAAUAGAAACAAUACAGUACUCAUAUCGUGCAACCUAUUUUGGCAUAGUAUAGCAGAAGGGGACGAGUGAACCACAAAAGAAGAACGGUAGUACCUCCUCUUCAGAAUCUGAAGAGUCUUCCUCAGAGCUACUGCUUUCAACUUUCUUUGGAGGGGGCUGCUUCUUUACUGGCUCAACCUUUACAGGUACCGUCUUUUGCUUCUUGGCACUGACUGCCUUCUCAAUCUCAUCUUCUGCAUUCCUCUUCCCUGUUCAUUCGGAUUAAAAACUGUUGUUACACCCAUGGGAUAGCUAAACUAAAUACAAAGCCUGUGCGACAAACUUAACAAACAAUUAUUCCAUUGCUCGUCAAAGCAUUACCCUUCUUUCCAGAUUUGCCCUCGGGAACCGAGACGGCAGCAGGUGCAACCUCAACACCGGAUUUCUUGCUCGACUUACCCAUAAUGUCUUAGAUAAGCUCUGCAGAAAACAUGGUCACUAAAUUAAGAAUAAUGCACAUCAGUACAACACAUGAAUAGAAACUAGCAUACCCCUUAUAAUAACAAUCAUAUAACAAAGUCAAAAAAAUGAGAAGUUACCCACUACACUCGAGGUAAUUGGACAUGUUAACGAAGUGGGGAAAAAAAAUACUCGUGGCAACUAGUCAGGACUCAGGACACACGAGACAGAGGACAGAUUUCUAAAGAAUCAACAAGUCAUAAUGAACUGUUACUCGCGCUCCACCACGCACGGAGCAAGCAAGCAAACCAGCAGCGAACUGGACCGAUUAGGGAGAACGAAACAAUCGGAUUCGAGCGCUCGAGACGACGCCAUGAUUCCGCGGAACAGAGCGGAUAAGAACGAGCGAUUCGAUCAAUCAAUCAGGGGGUAGGGUUCCUUACCGAGCGCAGGAGAUACGGACGGCGGCGCGAGGAGAGGUGGAAGGAGAAGGGGCAGGCGGGCGGCGGCGGCGGCGCGGGGUAAAGGGUAGGGUUCCGGUCGGGUCGGGGACCGGAGGGUUUAGGGUGGGUUUCGGCCGCGGCGCACAGCUUUUAUACCAUGUCCAAGGGAAGCGCUACUUUUGCAUUUGGUCCCUACGAGGAGUCGAUGUUCUGUUGCAGUGUGCGGUCGUCCUCGCAGAGUCGUUUGGCUGUAAAGUUAUGUAAAUAUGAGAUUUGUAUGGAUUGAAGUGUAAAGCACUUAGAUAUUUUCACAUAGACCUCGAAUGAUGGGCCUCUUAGUGGGCCAGAAAUAGUUGAACGAGUCUGCACUCCGGCAGACGAUGAAGUGUUCUGUACAAAAUCCUUCUCCAUCCAAUAAAAAUGGGUACGCCUUGAAAAAAAAUUGUACAAAAGAAGCGAUCCGUUUCUGAAAAAAACAUCAAAACAUUCUCCAAACUCGAAAAUUCAAAAACUAGGUACAAAUAGUUUUUUUUUUGAAACGGAAAUCGUGGUCAACUAGAAUCGUACAUGACAGGAUUGGAUUGUUCUUGUUUGUUCAACCACAACCUAGUUUUGCAAGGGGCGUGAACCCUAUUACAUUCUUUAGGGUCGAAAACGAAAGAACCACCGCCCAACGAAAGUCGAACUGACCAGCUUAAUUUUGUGUAGUGAUGCAAACUCGCCUAAAGAAACACGUAUUCGCCGGCUUAGGCCAUCCUAAUGGUUCAAAUCAGCUAGUUCCCCAUGGCAUUUAAUAUAUUUUUUAUGUAAUCAGUUUGAUGAUGUGGCAUAACUUCGAGGAGCGAGGAAAAAUAGUUUCUCAAUCAGAAAUUGAGCCGACGCGUUCUUCGAACUCGUGGAGCUUGCUUUUGCCAGCACGUGGACUUGCCGCUGCUGGCAUGAAGCCCCCGCCCCAAGUCCGAACGCAGUCCCGUUAGCGCUCGCCGCAGCCGCGCGCAUGGCGGCCUCACCUUUCGUCACGCCACGCCCCUCGCCAUGCGACCCUCGAGCUCACUGCCAUCACACACCCUCCAAUGUAUCUCUAAUUUUGGAAAUAUUUGAUGAUGGUUUCUCCCAACGCGUUUGUUGUCAAACGUUAAAUAAAUAAUCUGCAUUUCAAAUGCAAGUUUAAGAUAUCACCUCUACGAAUAAAUACCAUCCACCUGAUGGGACGAUUUAUACAUUAAUUACCAUUUGCUGAGCAUAUGAACCUUUGCUCCUCAAAAGAUUAGUGGGUUGGGUUUGAUUGAUGGUAUGUGUAUGCAUGUUUUAUGCGGAACUUUUCUAUCUUUGUCAGAAAACAUAUCAUACACUCAUCCCUACGAACGACACGCGUCUCUUAUUCUGCUGUACGUUUAGCACUUUAGCUACUGGUGCUGGAGAUUUGUGCAUGUCUCUUCAAGUCCUUAUAGUUACUUUCUGGGCAAUUUGGAGCCACUCUGGCCCCCUCGCGUUCUUUUCCUUCACAGUAGGCACUUGCUCGAGCAAAAUAAGUUCAUGGGUUAGGUCAAUGGUCAAUGAUGCAACUAAAGAAAAAUGUCCUUUCUUUUAAUUUGAGUGAACUCCGAUCCACCACAGUUCUUACAACCCCAACACUUUAUCUCACUCGAUCACAAAAACUUGUACAAAAAACAAGUCGAAUAUGAGUAGAAUCCUGGCCCAAAAGUGCAUGUCCAAACGCACGGUCGCGUCCGUACAUGCAAACAACUAAUUAAUCCGUGGAGCAUUAGAGCAGCAGGCUCGUUCAGCACUCGACUCCGCACGGCUUGAGGACGGGGCCCUUGGACUUGGGGAUGAAGGGGUCGAUCCUGACCCAGACGAGCGAGAAGAUGGAGGCGAGGAGGAUGGACCAGAGCACGACGAUGGUGGGCGUCCGGUUCUGCCUCCCCAUGAGCCCCUUGAGGAAGGGGUAGAGGUGGAGGAUGACCCAGAAGGAGAAGAAGAGCUUGCCGAAGAGCGGGCCCCAUGAGCCGUAUCCGUUGUUGACGGCGUCGGAGACGCCAGCGACGAUGCCGACCAUGUUGAUGAUGAUGAGCGUGGUGGGGGGCACCAGCAGGGUGGUCCACUUGAAGAGGUAGAGCUCGCCGAAGACGUCGGUCUCGUCGGCGGCCCCCUUGGAGGUGACGGUGAAGUUGGUGUCGACGCCGCCCAGCACCUUGAGCAGGCCCUGGAACACGGCGAAGAGGUGCGCGGAGACGCCGCCGAUGACCCAGAACUGCUCGUUGCGCCACCAGUCCUCGAGGCUCACCCCGCUCCACCGCAGCUCCAGCACGCCCGUCGCGAUGAUGGACAGGAACAACGCGAUGAACCAGAUGCUGGCCAGGUUGUUCAGCUGCAACAAUGCAACGGCACGCAGCGUGUUCAGUCGAUCGAUCGGCCAUUAAUCCAUCAUAAUUACGGCAUAGCAUAACAACACCAUGAGUUAUUGUUGGAAUCCAUGUCGUACUCACCGUGGGGAUGAUGAACUUGCCGGUGAGGAGGCAGACGGCGGGGAUGGUGCAGUAGGCGAUGAGCGGGAUGGAGGUGAAGGGGUAGACAAUGGUGUUGGUGUAGGCGAAGCGCUCCAGCCACUUGAGCCGGCCGCCGUAGGCGUACCAGAGCGGGCAGUGGCGGCUCAUGAAGAUCUCCACGGAACCCAGCGCCCAACGCAGCACCUGGUGGAGACGGUCGGACAAGUUGAUGGGCGCCGAACCCUUGAACGCCGGCCGCGUCGGCGUGCAGUACACCGACUUCCACCCGCGGCAGUGCAUCUUGAACCCAGUCAGGAUAUCCUCUGUCACCGACCCGUAGAUCCACCCAAUCUACGAUCAACAAAGUUAACAAAUUAGAUUUAGCAUCCAAGCACCAGUGGUCUAGUGGUAGAAUAGUACCCUGCCACGGUACAGACCCGGGUUCGAUUCCCGGCUGGUGCAGUUACUUUUUUAAUUUUUUUAAAAUGAAUGAAGGAAUUACCUCCUUGCCCCACUCUGUCUUCUCCUCGUAGCCGCAGCUGAUGACGUGGAUGGCCUCCUUGAUGAGCGCGGCGGGGUCGGCGGCGGCGCCCUGCGGGAGUCCGCCGUCCUCGACGAGCGUGGAGGCGAUGAACACCGGCGACUGGCCGAACCGCUUCUCGAAGCUCUUCUGCGACAUGAGCGACGAGCGCUCCAGCUCGUCGUACCCCUCCAGGCCCUCCUCGAUCUCCUCCAGCUCGAACGCGCGCUGGUGCUUCUUGUACUUCUUGCCGCCGGCCACCGACCCGCCGCCGAGCUUGUCCUUCUUGCUUCGCUUCCUGUAGAACCCGAGCAGCCCGCGGCGCGGCUCGUCGCCGGAGUCGCCGCCGCCGCCUCCCUUCUUGUCCUUGCGCGCCUUCCCGCGCUUGCCGCCGCCGAAGCAGCAGCAGCAGCAGCACCACGACGGCCAGCAGUCGCACGUCAUCUUGGGCCUCUUCUCCGGCCGCGGCGGGUCGUACCCGUACAGCGCCUGGCGGUUGAAGACGCACCCCGUGCCCACGUACACGGGGCCCUGGAUGCCGUCGAGCCCCUUCAUGUUGAUGUCGAAGAAGACGACGUUCCGGUUGGCGUACCUGUCGUGUCGGUCGAUGCCGUCGAACCGCUGCGGGAACUGAACGUAGCAGAGCUUCUUCCCCAGCUGCGGGUCCAUGAGGAAGCACAUGGCCUCGCGCACGGCCUUGCUGUUGUUCACGUAGUGGUCGCAGUCGAGGUUGAGGAUGAAGGGCGCGUUGGUGAGCACCGCCGACACGCGCACCAGCGCGUUCAUGGCGCCGGCCUUCUUGUGGUGGUUGUACCCGGGGCGCUUCUCACGGGACACGUACACCAGCCGCGGCAGCUCGUGGCCCUCCACGUCCAGCGCGCCCUGGCUGCCCAGGUAGACCUGGAUCAUGCCCGGGUGGUCGCGGGUGUUGUUCCCGGGCCACGGCGUGCCGUCCUGCAUCACCCACCCUUCCUCGGGCUUCUUCUGCGCCUUGGCCACCAGCGCGUUGAUCCGGACCUUGAACUCCUCGUACUCCCGCUUCAUGGCGCGGCGCUCCUUCACGAACGUCGGCUGCACCUUGUCCUUGAGGUAGUCGAUCUUCUGGGAGAAGUAGAACUCCGGCGCCCGGGGCUCCACGGCGAACUUCUUGCAGAAGGGCACCCACCGGCGCGCGAACUCGGCGGUCUCGGAGAGCGUGUCGAAGAGGAGCAUGGACGCGCCGUCGUCGGAGACGUAGCAGCUGGUGCGGUCGACGGGGUAGUCGACGGCGAGGAUGGAGAGCACCGUGUUGGCGGUGAUGAUGGGGGGCUCCUUGAGCGGGUCCACCGUGGACACGAAGAAGUCGAUCGGGGAGAGGCGGCACGCGUCGCCCUCGCGGUCGUAACGGAGCGCCAGGCGAUCCAGGUAGGUCUCGCGCGUGACGGGGGCCCACUUGGGAAGCUGGUCCAGGAUCCAGGACAGCGCGAACCAGAGCUCGCAGAUGACGGACGCCAGCCACAGCGGCACCGCGUCCGUCGCCGGCGUCGUGAUACGGAACUUGAGGAAGAAGCAGAGAACAACGAGACGGAGCACGAUGACGAUGCGGUACGGGUUGAUCUGGCUCGACGGGAUCGGGACCUUGCGCCACAGCGGCUGACGGGCCUCGGCAAGCCUAUUCAUCCACCAUGGUUUGCCAUAGAGAUUCAGCUCAUUCAUCCGUCCAUGUUUUUUUUUUUUGCAUAUAUUCAGGUGAAACUGCGGAGAGAAGAAGAAGAAAUGACACCGUAUAGCACAGUGAGAGAUCGUAGUGCUUACAGCAUGUACUCGUCGUCGUUCUUGUCGUCGUCGUCGUCGCUGUCGUCAUGGUUGAGCUUGCCCCUCUUCUCCUGCUUGGUCUUCCACUUGUCGAUGCGGUCCUUCCAUUCCAUGCUCCCCUCCAUCUCCCUCUCGGCCUCCAGGUCCUUCCCGGCCACUGCACGAUUCAUUUCUGGCGCCAUUAGUACUCGAUCGAUCUUGCAGCAUGCCAACACCAAUCCAAACGAACCGGUUUUGCACUACUCACCGCUUCCGGUGAAGGAGGACAGCGUCUGCCCCCCCGUCCGCCACUUCUGCGGCGGCUGCUCCCCGUUCUCCGAGUAGACGUCGAAGGCGACGGGCUCGUGGGGCUUCUUGGGGCUCUUGACGGCGGCGGGGAACUCCUCCUCGAAGUCGUCCAUCUCCGGGCCGUCGUCCUCGUCCCCUUCUACCCUCGGGCACCCUGCAAGCAUGAUCGAUCACUCGAUUCAGAGUUUCAGGCACGAUUUUUUCAAAAUUCACUUGAUAGUUAUGCGCUUCAAACUUUUUUUUUUAGGUGACAAACAUGGCGUGCAAGGUGCAACUGUAUUCGAAAUGAAAUCUAGACUGUCGUCUGUGAGUUGGUGACUCUCGGUGUUGUGAUUGGUGGGGUGUAGUGUUACCAACUGCCAACGGACUGACCUUUGUGUCGCUUGUAGCGGGUGUUGCACUGGGGGCAGCACUGCGUGCCCUCGGCGCGCUCGUACUCGUAGCAGGGCCGGCAGACGGGGAAGCCGCACUCGGAGCACGCCACGAAGGGCUGCCCGUCCUCCCGCGCCCCGACCUCGUCCCCGCACACGCGGCACGUCUUCACGUCGGCGCUCCGCCCGGCCGGCGCCUCCUCGUGGCCGCGCAUGACGUGCAGCUCGUCCCGCAGGUGCGAGCCCGCGGCGAGGCCACCGGUGUCCAUGGCGCGGGGGGUGGAGGAUCGGAGUGUGAUGAGGUAUCGGUGAAGGGACACGGAAGUGGGCUGUGAUAUAGCUGAUCGCGGAAGCGAGGUGGCGUGGUGACCGGUGGAGGCCGGGGGAGUCGGGCGGGCGGGUAAGGUGGCGGGGUGGCGUCCCGCACCAACCGUGGGUUGGGGAGUCCGGCGUUGAUUAGAGCACAAGCCAAGGCAAGGCAGGUGCAUGACAAACACAGCGGCGCUCGCCCGGUCGCUUGGACAGCAAGGCGGCGUCGGGGUUGGGGAUGUGUGCUCGUCACUCGCAGUGCGCCUGAAGCAAACGUGCGUGCGUGCGUGACUGACCGGGGAAAAUUUUCUGUCAAAAUCAGGGUCCGAUAGGAGGCCAGUGCGUGCACACGGCGGCAACCGACGAAGCAAGCGGGUGGUUCGCGGUGACGCCUCAGCGUUUUUGGUAGGAUGGCGAGCUCGUGUGACGGUGAAGUCAGUGCGUGUAUAAAUGGCUGGUGGUAGGACGGGACAGCCAUCCAAGAUUAACGAGGCGAAGGCACUUGUGCUCUGCCUGCGAGGUUGGUUUGAUACCUCGCCGACAAAACAAUACGGCCUUUGCUCAGGAGAACAUCUGAUGUUUCGCUCGCUACCAAGCAAAGAGCACUAGCAACAAACCCAAGUACUCUUCCUCGUCUUCAAAAGUUCUGGCAUCAAGCACCGACACAAAAAGGGCAAACAUGUUGGUUGGAUCGCCCCAUGGGCACAUUACUAGAAUGAUCCACAAUGCAGCGGUAAUCGGCAAAUGUUUCACGGAUCAUCCCCUACUUUUUAAGGAAAUUCGAAGGUCCAAAACACGGAUAUGCAAUGGACGAAUCUGAGAACAAGCUCCUUCGGGUUGUCAAAUCAGGGCAUAUUACGAUUGAAAUUUAGUGCCAUACAAAUUCGUCAAUGUCUCUCCAGCAUCUCUUUCUUGUACUACAUAGGCUAUCUGAGAGCAAAAUAACAUCAUAAUAGAUGGGAAAAUUGCCUCGGGCAAGCUGAGGCUGAAUCGAAUGAAAGUAGCUACCGAGAAGAAAACUCCACCCGCACCAUCCAAUCCAAGCCCCAAUCUUCAUGAUACGCACAACCUUAAACGGUGUACCGUCCACCUCUGCUCGGCUUAUCUCUUCUAGAGUCAUCCUGCAUAUGAGAGGCGUAGAGUUGGGAGUCUUAUCAGUGCACAUACUUUGAUAUUUUCUCAGAAGUGUUUUAACAAAUAAAGAUGCUAUGUGGGGUGAAAAUGGAAGAAUCUGAAGCCUGAAGGCAUACAUGGAAAGUGUAGGUGAUCUUGUCAUUGUAGUCGAUGACAUCCUUCCAUUUCUUUCCAAUGUUCACCUGUACAAUAAAGGGAACGGGUCAACACACAACAACACAAUAAUAUUAUCUGGAUUAGUAAAAGGCAUUGGAAAACUUCAAAGGUUGCAGCAUGGGAUGCUGGGGGGAUCCAUGAGAUAACAAUGGCCAACAGAAGAUGACUAGGGAGGAAAUCCAGAAUUACACAAUGAUCACUUAGAAAAGGUUUAUGUGCCUGUUUAUUCCUACUUUGUUGAAUGCAUAGAGGAUAUAAUAUAUAAACAGUACCCACAAAUACAACAUGUACAUUUUCCUACAGAAUCAUAAUAAAGAAAAUAAAUAACCACUUUCAUGCAACAUCACAUGCUGUUGCCCACUCAAUAAGCUGUUUGUAUCCCUGCACAACCAAAUAACAUGCACCAAAACUCCUAGCAAACUACAUAUUCUCUUGCAGAGGGAGAUGAUUUAGGGUAUGUGCCCUUGUUUGUGAAGAAAGCAGUUUUGAAGCUUCAUCAUAACAAAAUAUUGAGUCCGGUUGAAAAUCUUUCCAACCAAAAUCAACCUUACAAAUGCAUUCAAACAAGAUAUGGAACCUUUGAAGAGAACUAUAAUGAUAAUAUAAAACUUCUGCAAUAACUAGCUACCAUGCCAUGGUAUUGAUAGCACAAAAACUUCUACCAUAACUGAACCCGACUAAGGAAGCAGGAGGAACUAGAUAUAUAGAGAUGUAUUAGAGGGCAGCAUAGCAGCUACGGAUUUGCACAGCUUGUUGACAACAUUGGCAGGAAGAAAACAUGAACUACAUAAACCUACUUCACCCCCUUCAUUAAAGAUACGGACCAAAACUCCAUGGUGUUAAGAAAAUAUCAGUAUCAAAACUGAUGAUUGAAUUAGUAUGAAUUCCAAAACCAACCUGGACAGCUUCAUUGCUGGCAGUCCUAGUCCAUAAUGCGAGCUUAUCCCCUCUCUGACGGACACUAGCAACAAUUCCACAGAUGUCGUCGGUUUCAUCAAACUGCUCUCCAAUAAGAGCCAUCAACUGCAUGUUCAAAUAGAUAAGCACUCCUUCAAUAGAUACUUCUCAGGUAAGAUCAAGCUAAUCUAUGGAAGAACUUCCUAGCACCUGAACAAUUGAAAUAAGAUUAAGAAAGAUGUACCGUUUCAAGCCACAUGGUCUCAAAGGUUGCCUUUCUGUUGCAUGGGACAGUCCACUUGCCACCAUUUGCACACUCCGGGUCCUCCCAUUUUGGCUCCACUCCAGCCUUGAAUAGAUGAAAAUCCGCAUUCCCACUCAACUUGCUUGGGCGGAAAAUCUGAUCGUACAAGCUACAGCAAGAAAGAAGAGAUUUAUAAGUUCACAGAUUCCAGGCAACCAAAUUAAUAGGUAUCUAGGGUAAAAUAGCGAUAUAAAUAGAAGUUUAACAUUACAUAGAUAGAAGUUUAACAUUACAUAAAUAGAAGUUGCUGUGUAAGUACUACCAAUAGAUAUUGCUAAUUAGUUAAGGCUAAAACUAAAGAGUAAUGUUAACUCUUUCUAUAUGUGACAAGGGUCUAAUGCAAGCCAGCAAGUAUCUUAUGAUACCUUUUACUAAUGAAACGGUGACAUCAACAGAAGCAAACUAGAGAAGAGAGUCAUUCUCUAUAUCCAACAUGCCAAUAUGCUCAAACUAGGAUUAACAUAGUAGAAUUAUCAACAUUUUAUUCAUUAUAGUUCACCGUGGAAAUUUUAACUGACAUACCAACUCAUUAACUACAAGGAUAAAUCUCCCCGCUCUGAUAGAUAUUGUCCAACCUCCACUGCAAAUAUACUUCAUCACUCGCUAUAUUAACAACUCUAGCACCACAUCAUCACUAAAAACGGGACAGCUUAGGUGAAAAAUCAGCCAAGCACAAUCAGCACUCAGGCAACUAAUCCGACACAGACAGCAGAUAAUAAUAUCAGGAACAGACAACAAACAGAUUUAUUAUCAUCUAAUCGUUUCAGAUUUCCUCGGCGCUAAGGCAACCUAGAACCCAAUCUACCCAGCAGAUAAUUCCCACCGCCAUAUGACCACCUAUAUCACACACAAAAACAGAUGAACAGGAACUACCACGGCAUCCAGAUCAGAUCCGAGCGGUACGGAUCCGGAAGGGGCGUGAUAGAAGAGGGGAGGCGCCCGCGGCGGCGUCCACGUACCUCCAGAACUCCUCGACGGUGUCGAAGGUGUAGGCCUUCUUGAGGGAGGUGCCCCACGCAGCGCCGGGCUUGGGCUUCGACUGGAUGUCGUACCAGAAGGUCCACUGCCGGUGCAGCUUGUGCGGCCCCUUCGCCUCCGCCGCGGCGCCGCCCUCGGUCGCCGCCACCUCCGGGGUCGUCGCCGCCACAGCCGCCGGCGCAGUCUCAACCUCCGCCAUGUCGCGCCGCCGCCGCCGCCGCCGCUUUUCGAGGGUUUUUUGGGGGGAGGGGGGGAGGGGUGGGGAGAGAAGAUACGAGAGAGAAGAGAUAGAGAGAGGUGUUGCGGCUCUGUCGAGAGACGUGAAGGAAUACGGAAGAAGGCUUCGGGCCUUUUGGGGAGUGUGAGAGUCGGCCGGCGUGGGGUGGGUGGGUUGCAGAGGCGUGCGCGUUUUUGACCGGGCUCCGGCCCAGUUUACGUUGAAUUGCAUCGAACAUUUUCUUCAGCUCGCUUACAGCUUCAUACUAGGGAUUACACAGGGAGUUGAUUCCCUAAAAAAUGCGCCUGAGCAACAGUUAACUGACAUGAAUACAGAAUACAUCACAUACACUGAAUGCUCGGAGCAUAAGUACCAUGACAGAGAAUACAACACGCACACUGGAAGGUACUUGAAAUUCGAACAGAAAGCAAUGUGGCGUUAAAAACCAUUAUAGGGUUAUUACCAAAUUACAGCAAUACUUUUACAAGAGAUGUACAGAACCUUUUCAUGACCUCAAAUUGUCAUGCAGGUGGACAAUUACCACUCGUUGGGUAACUGGUUACAGUGACCCCAUCUGUGUAGUAUCACCUAAAUAUUAUACACCCUAGCCUAAAAUUGCCAAGGCUCAUACUUGAGCUUUUGCUAUUGCCGUUCAAUUUUCGAUGGACCACAAAAGGAAAAGUACAGGGGUAUGAGAACAUAUCAAUUUUCCUAAAACGAGAAGAAUGGGCACCAUCUAUGUAUCGUGCUUGAGUAUCAAAAGGCCCUAUUCAAGCUAAGUUUCUUGUGGUUGAACAAAACGGUGGUUGCACUGUAUUUUUUUUUUUAUGUGCUGACUUUCUCCUGGUCCUCAGAAAACUGCAAGUGUUGUAUCCUGUAUGGUUACAAAUCAUGGAAGAGACGCCUAAUUUGUUCAACAGUGGCAGGCAUCAGCGUGACAGGACACCUUUUAUGCUGUAGCACAAGACAAUGCCAUAUAAGCUGAUGAUGGACAGACAAUGUGGCUGAAAUAUAUUAUAUCUGUAUCUGAUAUGGUAGAACCCACCUGAGACACGGACUUGAAUAUGCAACUGUAGCAAAAAACAAAACCAGAAACAGAGAGAACAGAGGGGUUGGCGCGCUUCUGGCAGCACAGGGGGCACAGUGUCUUGUCAGAUGGCAAGGGAAUCCCAUCUUUGGCAACCUAAUAAAAAUGUUGCAGACCCAUAUGAGUUUGUAAUCAUGAACUAAGAUUUCGUUAUUUAACAGUUCAACACAAAAUAUAUGGACUAUAGAGAAAACAACACAUUUCAGAAUACUUGCAAAAUCACGGGUUGACUAUGUCACAAGAGAAUGGUUUCAGCUCUUUGCAAGCAAGCGUAGAAUAAAUAGAUAUACCUUUGGAGUUGGUGGCGGAGGGGGCGGUGGAUAUACAGUCGGAGCUGACAUUCUUUCUUCAGCAGAUUGGUACCACCACUCCAUCAUCUAAGGUAAGAUUACCAAAAGGAGAACAUUAAGUACAGUUCUGUAAUUGAAAUCAUGCUUUUUCAUAUGGAGGUCUAACACAGGGAUAGAACUAAUCAACUAAUAGUCCAUCUAGAUGUGUAAAAAAGUUUGCAAACAUCAUCAAGUAAGGACUUUGAUUUCUUAGUCAUUUCAAUAUUCAACAGGUUUAAGGAUGCCUUCUAGGAAUUAUUUCUCACAUUAGUUUCAAAUCAAAGUAUUUAUAAAAUAAAUACAAAACAUUCUAAAUCAGCAGUCUGCCUGUAAGAAAAUAUUCGAAGUCGUGAGAGAACAUUAAAGAUAGGUUCUCUGUGACAGGAACUUGCAGAACAGACCUUGAAAAAGAAGACUGCAGCAAUUAAACCUGUUUGUGCAUAAUCUAGAGUUGUGUACAUACAACUAAGGAACACCCGUUGCACAGCCUGCAGAGGUCAUACAAAAAAGUUCUUGUCACGAGUUAGGACUCAAAAAUUCAUACGUGAAACCAAUACGGCUAAUGAGUACCAUUCGUCCUCUUGUACCUUGAGCCAUGGUGGACCACGAAGUCUCUCAAGUUCACGAUUUCUAAUCCUUGAUAUCCUAGAAGAUGAAUCCAUCUUAUUCAGAUGAUGAAAGACAAUAUAUUAGGCACAUUAUCAUAUCAAUAAAUGGAAGUGGAAAUGUAUUUGCCCACUGAUUAGUGCUUCCAAUGAUUAAAAAAGGUUUUUGGUAGGAAAAAAAGGUGAUUAAAAAAGGGUGCCACGUGAUAUGAAAAAACAUGUUGGUAAAUAUGCAAUGAUGAGAUUCUAAAUAUGCCUCUGCAUAAUUUGAUAAUAAAUACACCAAUAAAAAGAAAGUGUGAAGCACAAUACCAGCUCUUGUCCAGUAGCACGACAAACGUGAAGCCCUAGCACAUGCAGUGCUGGACUAUAAAAAGCAGUGGCAUCCAACAGAUACAGCAGCUGGUAUGCAAACGAGAAACCUGCAAAACAAGGAUGCCAUUGCCAUAUGUGAAACUCUACUGCCCACCUGAUGAAACAAACAAGCAGGCAUUGCAUAAUUCUUUUGAUUACAUGAAACACAAAUGAAAUUGGGUUAUACUGGACAAAUAGACCAAAAAACACUAGCAAUGCAAAACUAAAAUGACAAGAUCACAAGAGUCAAGAAAAGGAUUACUCUUGGCAAAAAAAAGUCAAGAAAGGAUGAUACAAAGGAAGAACUGAUUGUGAUUCUUUUUACUGGUGCUUCAUAACAAUAAUAUGGAAUAAUCAGCUCCUUGAAGUGAAUAAAGACAGAACAACACAGAAAUUACUUAUAACUUAUACUGGAUAAAGAUCCAUGGGAGUAGCUGGUAAACAAACCUUCAUUAGUUGCAUGAAUCCAUGGAUAGCAAACACCUAUGAGUGAGGCAAAGUUCUUCUUAAAACGUGUCAAGUUUGACACUUCAUCGGUUGUAGGGUCAUUCUGUGCUUGAGAAGUCUGCUCCUGAUCUAAUACAAAGCCAGCUUCAUCAAACCUCACAUCAUCCUGACCCCAAAGAGUUGCCUGCAACCUGGCUUCCCUUUCUUUAUUGUAUAUAGACUGCAACUUUGACUUAAAGUAUGGCAAAACAACCUACAAUACAUCAGCAAAAGUUCAGAAUAAAGAGGAGAAAUAUUCCAUUAUUAUAUAAAGGAAAAUUUUGGUACACAUUGAUUUAUAUCAAAAGUUCAAUAUACAUAGUAUCUAAUUAUCUUAGACACAAUUCAAGUUUUAGACGGUUACAUUUUGGGAAUGGCACAAUACAUGGAGUCAUGGACUACUGAAAUCAGAAAUUAACAUUUCCAAACAAAAAAAGAUAAAACAGGAAGGCAUUUUUUAAAAAAAAUUAUUCAUAAGGUAAUUUCUACUGAGCAGUGUUAAAUGGGCACAGGUGUGGAUGUGAGUGUCUGAUCUGGCAGAUUUUUUUGGGACACGCCAAAAGCCAUGUGGAAUCCGACAUGAGUGAAGGGUGUCUGACUCAGAAAAAAUAAGAAAAAGGGUGUCUGGAUAAUACUGCUACUUAAUUGCAUCCCCAAUAUGUCUUGAAGCAUGACAUGAACCAAUUAUCAAAAAUAAAACGUAUGAAGAAAUAAGAAUAUUAUAUAUCCUUAUAGCAGCUGGGUAACACAUGAAACAAUUGUGCCACAUAUAUCACAAUAAACUAACAAGAAGAUUGAAAACUGAAAGUUAGUAAUACAGUAACCGCAUUAGGGCCAUAACUAGGGCAAAAGGCAUUUCUGAUAUACAUACCGUAUAACUAGUUGGUUGUUAUAGUAGAAGAAAUAAGCUCAAUCUUAAUAAGAAACUCAUGGUGCAAACCAGAAUAGAAAUAUCUCAUGAGUCCAGAAAUUCAAGUCAUGGUACUGACUCUAGUUCAUGUGGUUUUGGAUGUACCAAUUUUGGCAAUUCUUUUUAUUGAGGUAGCUAAGUAGAAAAGGUAAAUUAUGUUUCCCCUGGGAACGAAAAACAAAGCAGACAGAAAACUGCAGUGCGCAAGUAAAAUUACGGCCAUCCUACCAAAAAAACGACCGAGAGAAUUUUCUGACGCUUCAUUAGUGCAGAAUCAUAGACUUUGUCACUGGAUUCUGUACCAGGACUCUUCUUCACUGAAACCUUAACAGGUCUCCUCCUGAGACCAUAUAAUGACUCUGAAAAGGAACCAUCUGAAAGGAAACAAUUCAGAACAGUUAAAAUAAAUGCAAUUAAAAUUUGGGAUAUCAGAGCUCAAGCUUGCUUAGUUAAGCUUGUCCAUUUGACUAGUUUGGUAUAUUUCACAUACAUAAGUAGAUUAGAGUAAGUUAACAGAGUACUCGGCAGUUAGGCUUAGUGUUUGGUUUGGCAAUAAGUUGGCCCAAGCAUGGUCACUUUCUAUUCUAUUAAACAAAUAAACCUGUACGGCUGGAUGGUACCAUUCCAAUAACCUAUGGUGGUAUGUAAAAUAUGAGAUAGAUAUGGUGAUAGUGAUGCAAGUAUAAACAUAAAGAAUGAUGGUUCGCUCUAUUGAGAUAUCAGUAUAUUGGUGCAUGAAAUUUCUUUUCCCAAUAAGCUGCAUCCAAGGGGGUUUGCUACAGAAAACAAGAGGCUCAGAAUCAACAUUGCAAUGCUUCAUUCACUUAGUUUCCUGCAUUCCAAUUUCAUUCCUUACAAGCAUCCUAAACAAAUUAAUUCUUUUAUGCAGAAAGAGUCUUAUGGUACAGCAACGACGAACCUGUUGUCCGUAGACUGUGAGACUCAAGGACGCCCAUUAACAAAGCAAAGAAUUCGUCUUCAUAAUCUAAAACUUUGUGAAGCAAUGGCCUUCUUAGUGCAAAAACCUGCAAGUACACAAGUUAAUCAUAAUCCACAUAAGUGGUGAAACAAACUUUCACGAAAUGCAUAGAUGUCAGAUCUGGAGGAGAGAACGUCAAUAAGAAAUGGAGUUAUCUCCAUAAAAGUUUUUGGAGGGUACUCUUAUGCUUCCCUUACUAAGGUACUUAGGCAGCUUUGCGCGAUCAGACAUAAUGAGCUAACCCGACAUUUUGUAGAAUACUCACUUCAUAUAAAUUGAAGUAUCUGACUAGUUUUGUAAAGAAAAAAAAUGUUGAAAUAUAACUUAAAAUAAGCACAAUUUUUACCACUUUAUUAAAAUACAACGAACUAUCAGUUGAGCGUAAUGGGUAACAGGAAGGAAAAGUAAUAGCAUGUGCAGCAAGGAAAUAUAAGUAAAUUGCCUUUCCCCAAAAAUAAUAAAUUGACUUAAGAGCAACUCCAGCAAUCUCCUAACACCACUACCAAUACCAAAAAAGGGUCAUUAUUAGGGUUUGGACUGCUCUGACAGACUCCCAAUAUGGCUCCCAAAAACCAGCCCCCCAAUUCCAAAAUAAAGGGAGAACAUCCCCCCUCACAAUGCCUCCUCCCAAUCCUUUCCUGCUGUAGGGGGUCCAAUUAUUGGGGUGAGAUUAUUUGGGGACUGCUGCAGCACCUCUCCCAAUAAUCCUGAAAACAGUAGGGCAUUGUGGCCCUCCUAAUACCACCUUAUUGGGAGACGGCUGGAGAUGCUCUAAGAUGUAUAUAUUAAUGAAGCAAUCAAAACAUUCUUAUAACAAGAUACAUGUUUACAUGCAUUAGCUUGCUAUGUACUAAUGCGCACAGGCAGAUGUCCAUAUCCUAUGUCCCAUUGCAGAUAUAUUUCUUAUGUCACAUGGUACACAGGUUUUCUUGCUAAAUAUGUUGACCCUAGAUGUGAUGGUUAGUCUCCAAAAAUUACAACACGCAAGAAGCCAGCUACACUAUCCAUAGUUCUCCACGGCACAUAGAAAUGCAGAGCAUCAUCAUGCUAUCAGCCAGCUCAAUGCCGCAGUCCCAUACCACUCACACAAACGAACUUACUCUGGGCCUGAUGGCCAGCCAAAAUGGGCUAACCUAUAUAAUCUGAUCUCAAGCUCAGCUUUGCACUUGCAAUUACAUCUAACGAACUAAAUCUUACCGAAUUCUCUUAAAGCUAGAUGGCAGGGCAACAAAAACAGUGAGUGAAACCACACACAGAAAAAGCGAAAAACUCCAUGAUCAUCCCCCCAAAGCUAGGAUCACUUCAAUGCGUCACUCCACACCGCGCAAUUCUAGCAUUGAUGGCGUCGGGGACACGCACGACCAAACAGCAUGCCACGAGACCCCCGGAAGCAGGCACGGGAUCUCAGGGAUUCGAUCCAAUCGGAGACGGGCUGGUAAGGGGAUGAGCCGGGAGGCGGUCGGUUUACCCCGAGCGAGUAGGUGAGCGCGGCGCGGAGGCUGGCGGGAAGCUGCUGCGCGGCCGACAUCUCGAAGAAGGUGGGCCGCGCGCCCUGCCCUCCCACCUGGAACAGCAUCGCGCCCCCCGCCGCCCGCGCUGCCUCCGGCGUUACGGGAGGGAGCUAGGGUUGGGCCCCGGAGCCCGGAGCCUAGAGCUCGGCUGGCGGAGGAGCUCCGCCGGCGGUGGUGGGCGCCGCCGCCGCCCGGUGUGUUAUCUGUUGGGAAGAGACAGUUGGGUGUUGGCUCGCGCGUCCACGGCGGUGAGGGGAACUCAACUGGGCGAGGAAAGGAGAGGAAAGCGGGGCGCAAAAGGGAAGGAGUGACGUAGAUGGGUGGGGAGAAGAGUGCGAGACGAGACGACCAGCAGCGAGCGAUUCGAGGAGAGGAGAAGAAGAAUCACGAGACGAGACGACGGAUCGGUCUGCCAGCAUGUGGCCCGGCCCGGAAAGUAUGGGCUGUACGGGCUGGCAAUCUCUCUUGUCACGUACCACGGCCCGUUGCGCGGCGGCAACUGGACACCGAUGCUACAGGGAAGUGGUGCUAAAGAAACGACGAUGCUAACGAGAAAGGAAAAAAAUAAAAUGCAUGGAUAGCCAUCGUAAUUGUUAGCGUGUUUCUGUUUAGCCAUCGUAUUUAAGAAAGUGUAAACCGCGAUCAUUAGACUCACUCGAGUGCGGCGAUACGGUCAUUGGCUGAUUAGUUAUACGUAUUUGGAUGACGUGGCGUAUGUUUGACUGAUGACUCAUGGUCCACCGUGUACAAAUCACAGAUGCCUUUUCAUCUAUAUUUAUUCAUUUAUCCCUUUUUCUCUCCUGGAUUUUUUUUCCAUCUACAAUCGUCCAUAACUAGCCCCCGUUCAUUAGCCCCAUUAUUUGUUACGCAGAUAAGAUCGGAGCAGUUCGUGACUUACGUUGGUGGCGGCGGUUAGUGAGCAACGACUCCCGUCCAUCAGAAGCUCGACCACGCUGCUUCUGUUGCUGGGCAUGGAUCCCGUCCGCCGGUCAGAGAAGGCUCCGCCUCCUAAUUACAGUAUGUGCACUUGAAUGCAUUUUGUUUAGCGACAGAAGAUUGCGUGUUUUUUCGAACGAAUUUUUUUUUUGAACGAAGAAGAUUGCGUGUUUUGGUUAUGUGUACAGCUAACCUAUCUACUUUGAACGCAAUUUGGAUUUUUCCUAUUGCCUCAUUUGCAAAGUAAGUCUCUUUUAAAUUGGAUGUGUUACUUGAUGUCCUAGGUGAUCGUAAUGACUCAUUCAGUGUACAAAUAUUUUAUGGAGGGAGCAAUUCAUAAUUAUUUGUGUGCUUUUUUGCAAAAAAAAUAAAAACUUUAUCGGGUUAUGAUGGACGCCGCAUCAUUCAAAUACGUAUGGCUAGAGAGCUAAUGAUCAUAUCGAUCAAGUCAAGCAACUUCAAUGACCAUUAUUUACACUUUAAUAAGUAUAAUAGUCAAACUGAAACACACUAACAAUUACAAUGACCAUUCGUAUAUUUUACUCAAGAAAAAUAUUUUUAAAAAAAGAGAAAAGGAAAAAUGUAUAAUCCCCAAAAAUAGAAUAAUUCUGUUCCUGCCACAGUUGACCAAAGCUCUGCGGUCCGGAGUCGAAAAAGAAAAUCUCUAUGAUUCAAUGGUACUUUUAUAUUUAUUUGAGCUGCAGUUUUGAGUUUUUUGAAAAGAUGUCGCUACCUUUUUUUUCCCGAAAAACUAACACUAGCUUUCUAAAUAGAAGAUGUGUUUAGCUUUCUUAGUUAAAAAACUCAUAAAACUGAGUUCUCCAACUUUCCAAAGAAACUCGGAUUUUCUGGACUUACAGCUUUUCGGAAGGUGCACGAGAAAUUCACUAUUUGUUUGAGCUUCUAACUCUUCAUGCUGAGAGAAGCUGCCACGAAGUUUAAACAAGUUGUACAGGGAAUAGGCGACUCCUGUACAAGCAAAACUCGAGGUAAGAUCAGUGGCAGAGACCCUCCUCUGCGAUCGCCGGCCGAAAUCACUCGCACAGUAGAAGUAGAACACAGGAUAUAUAAGAGGUUGUCCCUAGCUUAAAAACGGUGGCCGGAGCCAAUGCCAUCGUCGAAGUUCUGGGAGUAGCUCUGCUGGUCGUAGCCGAAGCUCGCCGCGGCCCGGCCCGGCCUCCCGGCGCUGCUCCUCAGCCUGCACCGCAGCAGCCUCCUUAACAGCUGCCUCACCGGUGCCGCCGGCCGGCGGCGGCUCUGUGCAUGCGCAGGGACAGCAGUGUCACCAUCCUUUCUCCGUCUCCGGUCGAUCACACCGUUGCACCACUCGACGAAAUUCGCAGUGUUUUGCACCUGUCUCUGCAGCUUCUGAAAACCAUGUCCUAACGAAAACCUCCAAACGCUGCUGCUUUAUAAGCUCGGAUGGCCCGACCCACUGGCGCGCACUCACUGACGAACGCCAACGUUGAUGAAUGAUGAGGCCAUCCAGCAUCCACUACACGACGGAUCGUCGAUCGAUCCGUCCGGAUGAAAUGCAUGGUCCAGGCAAAUAAAAAGCCCAUUUCAGUCGUAUCUUUCCCGGCGUCACCGUCCUACAGUUGGAAAGAAAGAGAGUUACAGACCGGUCCACCCAACGAGAGAAGCAAAGCCUGUGCAGUGGCAGUGUCAAUUCGGGACGGCCGGAUGGCAAUGGCAUCCAUCUCGUGCGAACUGUAAAGGGAGGCUGCCAGCAGGCGACAGGGGUCGGCGGCGGCCUAGUGUCCUCCGUCCGUCCUGCCCUGCCCUGCCGACUGCGGGUGAUCGUCUGCUCAAACAUUUGACGUGCACCAGCUAGCCAGUACUGCUAAAAGCAAAAUCUCUAGAGCCGGCCAGUUGCUUGGAUGUGUUGUGAUGGAUUCGAUCAUCAGCGUGAUUGGAUGCAUGCUGAGCCUUUGCCGUUAUUAUUACAUUAUUACAUUGUUCCAAAUCACAACACAAUUAUCACAUCCGCAGGCGUCCUGUGUGGCAGACCAAGCAAGAGGCCGCCCAUAAUACCACCAGCACGGAUCAGAUUCAGAUCGAGCUUGACGGCAGUUGACGAGCCUGCUGGCUUUGUAGAAAACAUGCUGCAGCUUCACGACUGGAGCACCUGUGUUUAAUUUUUGUUUCUGUCAACGAUGUAUUAAACAAAAUGUUUAGAUAACCGGCGGCAUACGAAGAUCACAGUGCUCGGACUAAUCAUCACACGCAAGCAACGGGUAUCAGAAAGAAAUUUCUAAAACAUGCAUCUUUCUAUGUCACAUGCCCAAUGUUUCCAAGAAACAAAUAAGGGAUUGUAAUAUUGUAUCAUUUUAAUCUAACAAGUUGUAGAACAUGCACAUGAAUACAUCAAAGUUGUCAUAUACGAUCCGAACCGUGGUUGGUUUUAUGCAAACUAGCCCCUACAUUUGUCUGGUUUUAUGCAAAUAAGUCCCCUAUGUUCAAUCCCACUUUUUACACGUACAUAUGUUCUCUCUGGCUUCAUUUGAGCUCUUCUGCCCUUUCGUUUUUCCCCCCCUGGCGACGGCCAUUACAACACCUUAUUACUGGCCACCACUCAUGGAUUUGGACGGACCUGCUGCAAUGACAGCGUCACCGAUGUACACUUACCGGCACCGGAUUUUGGUGCACAGCUGCCUACUCCCUGUGACCGCGGGUCCGCGACCCCGCCUCCAUGGACGACGCAACCUCGCCCCAGUCUUGCUUUGUCAGCAGUUCGUUGUAGAUUUUCAUUUCAACCGGACUACCAAUAUUUUUGAUGAAAUAUUCAUGUUUAAGUCUAGAUUACCCGAUUCUUGUUUGGUUCAUUUUGUUCAUGGCUUGCAAAUUUAUUCGCAGAUGAAGUGGAUUAUCCCACGUUUAUCGGAGCACAUUCGUUCAUAGUUGAAGUGAAUUUCGUAUGCUAAAUUAUUCAGGUUGUAUACAUACUGAUUAUUUCAGUGAAAUUUGUUGGUCGUGUACGACUGAUAUAAACUUCAUUGUCUUCAAGCGGCCAAUCAGGUCACCUACUAAACCCUGAUGUGCACGUCCUCCACAUGAUUGUUAGACUAAAACAAAUAAAUUGCACCCACCAAUAUCAAGAAACAAAAACUGCACGCAUAAAGACUUAGAUAAGAAGGGAGACAAAGAUAGGGGUUAUAUGCAUAAAACUAUUCACGUCACCUGUCAUAGUGGCAAAAUACAUCUAUGUGACGUAUAUGUGACCGUACAUGCAAACAUGAUAUAUUUGACAAGUUAGUGCAUCUAUUUGCAUGUUUUACAACUUGUAAGACUAAAGUGAUACAACAAGUUGUUGUUGAUGGGUGGCGCAAUGGAACGACGAUCAACUAAUCAUCAGUCCAGAUACCUUUCUCGACCUUUUGGCUAAGAUCAAGUGUAGUAUCAGUCCAGAUACCUUUCUCGGCCUUUUGGCUAAGAUCAAGUGUAGUAUCUGUUCUUAUCAGUUUAAUAUCUGAUAUGUGAGGCCUCAUCCUCACAACGGUAUUAAAUUUAUUUUUUUAAGGGGGGAGUGCCUGGCAUGGUAGCUUGCUACUUGGGCUCUCAAGCGUCGCCCUUGCACUGUUGCUUGGACUUGGCGCACCCCAAAAAAAAUAAAAAUAAAAAAAAACCAAAAAAAAACUAAUCAUCAGUCCAGCACUAGCAAGCAAACAAUUUUGGAGCCGAGUCGGGCCUAUUUAGUUACUGGUCUUGGGCCUAUUCUUCCUCCACGCAUGUGUUUUUUUUUUUGAAAACCCUCCACGCAUGUGUUGCAUGGGGGCCUGUCAUCCAUCAGGCCCAGCCGCGACUGACCAUCCCGACUAAAUUCCAGCGCGAGGGGAGAAAAAAAGAGGAGAGGACGCAGCAGCGCCGCCGCCGUCGCACCACUCCGCAACAGCUCCUCAACCCUAAACCCUAGCGGCUCCGGCCAUGGCCGCCGCGUCACAGGCCGUAUCAGCACCUCCGUCCGCCGCCGCCCCCGCCCCCGCCCCGAACCCCGGCAAGCGCAAGACGCGGGCCAAGGGCAAGGGCAACAAGAACAAGGCGAAGAAGAAGCUCGCGCGCUCCGGCCAGGAUGACUCCAUCCACCGCCGCCGCAACAAGCCCAGCGCCAAGUUCCUCAAGCUGCUCCGGAAGCGGGCCCGCGACUACAACUCCGACGACGACGAGGAAGACGACGACCGGCAGCAGGAGCACCAGCCGAACCCACGCCGCCGCCGCCGUGACGAGGAGGAGGAGGAGGAGGAGGAUGAGGCCCUCUCCCACUCCGACCAGGAGGAGGAGGACGAGGAAGAAGAGGGUGUCUCCACCUCUGCCAUCACCAGGUUCGAGCAAGGCUGCAGGGCGUUCCGCGUAGCCUUCCUCAAGAUCAUGGCCAAAAAGCUCCCUGACGAUCCCCUGGUAAUUCUCACCAUUCGUUCCUUCCUUCAACAUAGAUUGUUGCAUUUCCCCCUUUCGUGAUUGAUGCAUAUGAGUGAGCACAAAAAUGAAAGAGAAGAAAAGAAGAAAAAUGUUAAGAAUCUCUGCUGAUGCCUUUCCCUCUCUGCGUAGGGUCCAAUUCUGUCAGCGCACAAGAAGUUGGUCGCUGCCAAGUUGGCCGAAGAGUUAGAGGAGCACAAGCCCAAGGGGGAGGCUAGAAAGGAGAAGCGAAUGGUAUGGCUCUCACCUCCCUUGCUCAUUAGGUGUGCACUCUCAUUGAAAUGUAUUUACUUAAGCCAUUAAUUUGCUCUGGUUUGGUGGGAAAAAAGGCAGCAGAGAAGGGCCAUGUCAUACCUGAAGAUCACUUGGACAGCAAAGAGAAGGAACUCAUCAAGGUUGCUACGAAGGGGGGUAAUGCACUGUUUCUAAUACCAUGUCGUUUUGAGUUUUGACUAUCUCUGGCUAGAAUUUUACCAUAAUCACUGUGUUUCUGACAAUUGUAUCUUUUUCCUUGAAUUAUCCGGCUGCUGUUGACUCAGUUGUCAGGCUGUUCAAUGCGGUAAGCACACUGAUCUUAUCUCAAUCUCAAAGUACAUGUAGCGUGGCAAGUUACUUUUCUAAGUUGAAACGAAAUGGGCUGCCAUUUACUUCAUCUCAAGUCUAUUCUUUGCUUCCUUAAUUGUUUUGGGACAAUUACAUGAAAGUAGGUAGUAAUAUUCUAGGUCUUAGGAGAGUGAAUCUUCUAUUUCUUUCUGAGCCAUUUACAUCCACCUCAAGUCUAUUCUUGCUUCCUUAACUGAUUUGGGUGUUCAUCAAUUAUAUAAUAGUGGGUAAUAUGCUAAAUCUUAGGACAGAGAACCCUCUAUUUCUUUGUGAAGCACAACGUUUUAUGUCCACUCCAUGUUUGUUCAACAGAUACAAUUGCUUGGUCUAAUGUCCAAAAGUGGCUUCACUUAUUACGUACUAAAUGAUAGUGGAAAACAAUUUAUAUGCAUGUGAAUAAUUUUUGCACUUGAUGGGCUGAUAGUUAUUGGGAUUGCCUUUUCUUUCCAGGUGAGCAAGGCACAGAAGCCUCGGAAAGAUUUGAACCCAUCAAGAACUAAAGAUGCCAAAGGUAUAUUUUCACUUUUUCAUGCUAGUAUGAUGUAGCCAUUCUUCCCCUGUUAUUUGUGAAUUACUUUGUUCAUUGUUGUAUUCUAUAUGUCUGCUAAAACUACAAUUUUUCUUGGCCAUCUAGAGAAUGUUGGCUAGUGUGUUUCUUAGCUUCUUAUAGGCUUUUAGUUAUUUUUGUUUAUUAUUAUGGAUAUCCUAAUUAAUUUUGUUACACUUUUAAUUAAUUAAGAAUAAUGUCUAACAUGCAAAGUUCCUCCCCAAACACUUACUAGAGGGUGACUUUGUUUACACGAACAUCAUGUAUGACUAGUAGAAUAAUGGUGCCUGGACUGCUUCUGCAAUUUUUUGUUCUAUACAUUCUGGUUAGACAUCAUACCAAACUGAUCAGCAGGAGCAUGACAAGCCAUAUUAGUUAAUGGUACGAUCUUAGGUUAGUCAAACGUGAAAACAAUCAACUGUUGUUUUGCUCUAUGUACCCAACUAACAAAGCUCAACUUGGCAAAUGGGUCAUAUCUUUUGUGGUUUUGAAUUAUUAAAGAGUGAGCUGGUCUACACUCGGGUAAGCCCUUAUCUAAUUAGGUAUCAUGUGGAGCUCCAAAUCUUUAGCAGUCCAGGGCUUUGUUAGCUAAACAUAUAAAACUCAAAACAAUUGAUGGUCUGCUGAAUAUGACCUCUUGAUUUAUGAUUCUAUGAAUGUAAGCAGAUGCACACUUGUUUGAUAUUUUGCUCAAGAACAUACAGAGGUACAAACAAUGGCAGCAUCUGCUGCCUUUCAUUGCAGUGCAAGACGAUGCUAUAUUAAACUAAUGAUGUGUGUGUGUUAUGUUUAUUUUUAUGCAUUUCAUUUUGAGACACAUCAGGCACUCUACAAUGAUUUCCAAAUAUUCUGAAAGAUUUCCUGAUAAUCCUGGCAGUUUUAGCAAAAGAAAGGAAAAACACCUUCCUCGCGGAAUUGGAGAUGCCAUCACAUCAAGAUAAAAAGAGCCAGGCACCUUCAAAUUUCUCUAAGGUACCAGCUGCUAAAUAUUUCUUGGUUGACUCCUUAUGCUCAUAACAUGCCACUGGUGUCUCAGUGCCAUCCUUAAGUGAGCGGCAUAACUGUAGAACCUGCAUUUAUUCCUUGGAAGUUGGUAUUUUGCAAUAUUCUCUUUUACUUUAAAGAGUCACCUUCCUAGCUAAAAAAAAUCACCUUCCUAGCUUAAAAAUUUAUAUGUUUCUGGUGAUAGUAUGAACUCUCAUAUCUACAAAGUCAAUUUAGUGCAACUCCUCAGGGUCAUAUCUGCUGCGCUUUGUUUUUGCUUGGAAAACAGUAUUGCAUGCUAAAUUUGAUACAUUAUUUUCUAAAAUUAACCAAGAGAAUGUCUUCAGAGAUCAAAAUUCACAUGGCAUUUAUUACAGAGAACACACCACACCUUUCUGCAGUCAGUUAUAUAUAUAUGGGUUGAUUCUUGGGAAAAUAUUUCAUACUGUAACUUGACAUGAAGUUUCAACCAAUGUCUAUAGCGCACUACCUAUUAUUCAAAUUGGUAUUGUGAAGCACAAACACAUUGUACACUCCCUGUUCUGUUGAAGUUUGCGUUGAGAUGAGGGGUUUUGCCAUGUGGCAUAUGGAGAUGAGGAGAUUUUUAGUAGCAAAAUUUGUAUCAAGUACCAAACACAACCUCUCCUGAAAGUAUAUAAGCCAUGUAACCCAUAGUUAUUAAGUGGGUUUUUUGAAGCUAACUAACUUGCUAGUCCACUGUUUGGGCAAGUUCAUUUGGAUAAGGGUAACCACACUUAAUCAAUUUUCCAAAAGGUGGCUACUUAGGUGCUGGGUUUUUUAGAUGACUGCACUUACCAAAGCUUAGAUGGUCAUGCGCAUGGUUAAACCUCAUAUUUCACUAACUUUCACUGAGCAGAUUAAUUAUGGUUUAAGAAACUGUAGUACGGUUUGUUUGGUAAUGGUUUGCUAUUCAAAAUCAUAACCUAAAGAUAUGUUAUUGGCAUGCCUCAUGGCAAGAGUGACACGGCCAGGCAGGAACUGGAAAAGUUGCGCCCUAGGGUUUUCUUGAUCUUCUUAACAAUAAAUAUAGAUGUCAGGUGAAAAUUUUGCUUUCACAGAUUUAAGAGUCACAUGAUGUGUAGUUACUCUUAGCCUAAUACUAGCUGUCUGCUCAACGUCAGAAUAAAAUCUUAAUGCAAUGUUUGUUUUUAAGUGAAUCUUAAUUCCUGGACCUCUAUGUGGCUUGGAACUUCUCAUAAUUGAUCUGCCUUUUCUAGCAUACUGGCAAAGAUGAAGAUGAGCCAGCAUGGGCACCCUUGCGUGACACAUACAUGCUUGGUUCUAAAUUAAAGGACUGGGAUAAAAUGAAGGUACCGUCUUGUGAUUUAUGUAUAUACACAUUUUUUCCAAUUUGGCAUCAGUGCAACACUGAUAAUUUAAAUAUGUUAACUGACUUUGCCCUGUAGAUCUAAUUGACUUCUUUUGUUUCAUGAGAGUAGGAUUCUGCUGCAGCGAGUGGGCAAGCAGAGGUUCCUUUAGGUGACUCUUCAGACGAGGAAUAGGAAUACAAUCUGUUUAGUCGAAGCCAAACUAGAGAUUGAUUAUGUUGAUGUAUUCCGUGCUCAUUGCUUGUAAAGCGAGUUGAGAUGGGUUCUGGAUGUUCAAAUUAUCAAAUUCGGACGCCCUCUCCUUUUUAUGCCUUUUCUUUUCAUUGCAUUGCAUUAGCUCUAAAUAUAUAGUAUACCUUGACUAUAUGAGUACUCCAUAGAUGCAUUUGUUUGGACGUUUGGGAUGGGUGGUCGCAUUCAGCGGUCUAUUUGAUAUGCCUGCCUGCUGCUGUUGAGCUGCCUGUGGAAAAGCAGGCAUUUGGCUUAAAAUUCAGUGAAAUUUGGGACAGCCUGAUAACAAUGUCUAGCUUGCAAAAAGGUUACGCGAUUGCUAACUAAAUCGCAGAAUCAUUACAGUGCAUAAAUCACAAACUAGAUUAUGCAACGAGAGCUUCGAUCAGCUUUCAGUGGCCCAUGCAAAUAAAUCAAAUUAGAACCGUGCCGCUCCAAUUGCCAACGGCCAGCAGAUUCACAGUAGCUAACUAGCUAGUAGAACAAAUUAAAGAAGAAGCGAGUCGAUCAUUUUACAGUAACCGGAUGAGCCAGCUAGCUAUCUAUUCCCUUUUCCAAAUUGCAGUUCGUUUUGGGCUUUUUGAGGUUCAUACAUAUUAUUAUACAUUUACUAUAUCUAGAUGUAUAAUAAUAUCCAUGAAUUUAGAAAAGUCAAAAUAACCUACAAUUUGAAAGCGGUGGGGGUAGUUAAUUACUAGAUAGUGUUUGGUUCAAGGAGUGGUAACGCAAACAUAAAUGUAAUCAAAUCACGGGGGAAUUAGCACUAGAAUAUGCGAUUACGUUUUCUGUUUGGUUCAAUUAAGGUAACGGUAUCGCAAAGUAUUAUGAGGGAAGCGAUGCGAUUAUAGCCGGAGACGAGCGGAAUCCGAUUUCAAUAGGCUGGUAUCCAAUUGCAGCGUACGGACCAAACCAAAACAAACGCCUGUAACGCUACUUGUUAUCACUUACAUUCGGUGAAAGAUAGGAGUCACUGAGCUUAGUUACACACGGAAUAACUGAAAAGUGGUGGCCGCCGGAGCAGCCGAUGCCGUCAUCGAAGUUCUGCGAGUAGCUCUGCAGGUCGUACCCGAACGACCUCACCGCGGCCCGACGCCUCGGCCGCGUCGCUCCUCUCUUCCAUGUGGACCUCAUCAGCCUCGACAGCAGCUGCUUCACUGCCGCCGUCGACCAUCUUCCGGCUGCUGCAUGGCGGCCGGUGUGCAGGCCCAGCAGAGACGCCAUGACCCUACGACGAAUUUCUACGUCCUGCAAAGCGCCGUCAGCAAAGAAAAAGGAUUUACUUCAAAAAAGAAAAAGAAAAAGAAAAAAGGAAGCGCACUAACGUCAAAGCAAAAUAUCUAGAUGAGAGCAAGCAAGCUGCUAUUUGCAUGCAUGUGACGGUGGAGUCAUCACCUGAUCGGAUGAUCGACAGAUCACACGAAAAGGACGGCCGUUGGUGAUGGCGGUAUGGGGAUAAUCAUCCGAGUCAAUCAUCCGAGUCAUUGUGGUCCAUCUAUGAGUUGGCCGUUUGGGCUUUUGAGCUUUUGCCUUCCCUCAUACUUGAGCUUUUGCUGAUGGCGCUACCUUUUUGCUUGAGUUGAAAUCUAGCUUUAACUUCGCCACAAAGAAAAAUUAUUCUGAGUGAUUUGAUACAAACUAUAUAUAUAUUUUGGAAUCAUCAGAUUCAAAAUUAAAGUUCCCAUAGGAUUCCUUCUCCACUUUUGUUUAUAAAGACAGCCUUACAAUGCAUGAAACAUGAGAAAAAUACAAGUGAAGAUUCUUUCAGUCAAAUAAAUCGACAAAAAAGCGAAUACCUGUCAGUCUAACCGUACUCGUACGCGAACAUGCAUGUCACGCCAGCUAAAAAGAAUCACACAACUUGGUGUUUCUACACUAGCGCUGGGAGGUUGCAAACACUCACAGAUCGAUCACGUGAAACACAUUUGGUUAAUUCGGUUGAUGACAUUCACGUUUAGUUUCUUGUGACUUGUGAGCUGAAGAACAAUUGCCUGGCCUCCCGGCCAUCUAGUUUCAGCGACUUUCACCUAUCUCCCAAAAACCUAAAAGCAGCCACAGAUAGUUUGGCGGGUAGGUGAACAAUUUGCCUACAGGUUUGGCACAUUCUUAAACCAGGAAUCAGUUUCCAACAGCUGACAAAGAAGCUCAUUCUGCGUGCUGACUGAUGGCAGCAAAUUUACAGUAGCCAGCUACAAAGAAGAAAAGCGAGUAGUCAUUUACAGUAACUGGACGAGCCAGCUAUCUAGCUAUCUAGCUUAGCUAAUGACCGAGAAGCACUGAACUAGCUACACACGGCGGAAUCACUGAAAGCGGUGGCCGGAGGAGGCGAGGCCGUCGUCGAAGUUCUGGGAGUAGCUCUGCAGGUCGUACCCGAACUUCACUGCAGGCCGCCUCGGCCGCCCCGCGCUUCUCCUCCAUGUGGACCUCAGCCUCGACAGCAGCUGCUUCGCCGCCGCCGAGGCCACCGACGACCGCUCGCCGCUCCUGCCGUCGACCCUUCUCCGGCUGCCGCCGGUGUACAGGCCCAACCGAGACGCCAUGAUCCUCUCUCGAUCGCUCGUAGUAGCGCUGUCACGACUGAAAUCUCACAGCGGAGCUAAUAAUAAUUAGGCACCAGGACGCUCUUGACUCCUGUCUCACAGGCGCGUGCAGCUUCUCAGAGACCUUUGCCUGGAUGAUCGAUGCCUGCCGUGCCGCUGCUUUUAUAGGCUGCGACCGGAUCGGAAUGAAUCGGAUAGGGUUCCUGCUGUCGAGGUCGCCGGCCGGGCCCACCGGCACGCACGCACUGAGUCACUAACGCACAGGGCCACGACGGCAUCCACCAGGAUGGAUUCUCGAUCGGCUGGGCAAAAGCCGAUUUCAGGCCUCUUUUACGGCGUCGCCUUCAGUCAGAAAAGAAAAGAAAGGUGACCACCAACUACCAACCUAUCGAGCUGAAUUCGGAUGCUGCCCAGCCCAGCCCAGUCAUCAACUCAUCAUGCGUAGGAUCGAUGAACAUGGGAGCAGAGAAGGUUCAGAGGUUCAUGAUUUCAUCUACCCCUACAAGGCUAAAACGAAUUUUGCAAAGCGCCGUCGUCAGAAAAGAGAAAGCAAGCGCACUAACGUCAAAGCAAAAAUCUCUAGCUGAGAGAGGAAGCUGCUAUUUGCGUGCAUGUGAUGGUGUAGUCAUCGCCUGAUGGGAUGAUGGGCAGUUGGUGGUGGCGAUAUGGGGAUCGGGGUCCUACAAAUCAUCCGAUCCGAGUCAUCGUGGUCCAAGUAUGACUUGGCCGUUUUGGCUUUUGCCCCCAUCCGAUCUCGAGAUUUUGCUGAUGGCGCUCCCUUUUGCUUGUGUUUAGAUCGAUCAGUAGCUUUAACUUCGCUACUAAGAAAAAUUUGGAGUGAUUUGAUACAAACUAUUCCUUCUUCUUCUUUGGAAUCAGAAUCAAAAGUUCUCAUAGCAGGAUGCAGGAAUGUAAAAACGUUGAGAGAAUCUAGUAGCAAAAACACAAGUUACGGUACUGAGAAACAUGAGAAGAAUUGAAGUUUCUACACUUGCUGAUGCAAACGUACACUCACAGCUCGACGGUUGCACCGGGACCUAGGAUCGAUCACGUGAAAAACAUUCGGUUCGGUUCACGUACGUUUACCUCCCAAGAAAUCCACAAGCAGACGCAGAUACUUUGGCCGGCGGGGAAGAUGAACAACUUGCAUUGGCUGCAGGUGCGGCACAUGCGUAGUAACUAGUAGUAAGCCAGAAAUCAUAACAAAACCACAUGCAGACAGAAGCGACCAUUCCUUUCCAAGUUUGCAAACCCAGAAGCUGAACAACAAACAAAGCACCAACACAAUCACUUUGUGUUUUGCACACAUAAUUACAAAACCAUUCUGCGUGUUGACUGAUGGUGGAUUUACAUUAUCUAACUACUCCGUACAAAGAAGAGAAGCGAGUCAAUUACAGGAACUGCAUGCCGAACUGGAUGUGGCCGCUAGCUAAUCACCGGCCGGGAAUACAAUCACUGAGCGAGCUAGUUACACGGGAUCACUGAAAGCGUGUGGCCGGAGGAGCCGAGGCCAUCGUCGAAGUUUUGGGAGUAGCUGUGCAGGUCGUACCCGAACGACCUCACCGCGGCCCGCCUCGGCCGCGCCGUGCUUCUCUGCCUCCACGUGGACCGCAGCCUCGACAGGAGCUGCUUCGCCGCCGCCGCCGCCGCCGACCGCCGGCAGUGGCCCCUCCUCCGGCUGCCGCCGGUGUACGUGCCCAGCUGAGACGCCAUCCUGUCCCGAUCGCUCACAGCUUAGAUGAGCCGCAGUAGCACGCUUGUGUGCCUCGUGUCUGAACUCUAUGCCUCUCUGACCCUGCAGCUGCGAACUUCUGAAUCACACCUUUGUCUCCGCUGGACGACGGCUGCCGUGCUGCGUAUUUUAUAAGCUCGAGCGCUCGACGGACCGAUUGGAUGGGAAUCCGAUGCAUUGGGCCGGUUCCUUCGUUACCAGAGAGCCGACGACGUGCCAACGUCGCCGGCCGGGCCCACUGACGCUGACGCACCGAGUCACUCACGUACGGGUACAGCCAGGGCGCCGGUGGCAUCCACUACGCGAGUCGGAUUCCCGAUCCGAAUGGUUUUCCAGGCAAAAAAAACCGAUUCCGGGGGGCAUCUUUUUUGGGCGUCGCCCGCCAUCAGCCAGAAAAGAGGCUUGCUUGGCGACAGCCGGCAAAUGGCGACGGGGUGUGGGCGUGCGGCGUAACGGGAGGUCGGCAAAGCAGAGGAGCGAUAGGGUCGGCUCCUCCGUGUCCUGCCCGAGGGAUCAUGUCCGAAACGAAAACCGACCGGCAGUUGGGCACGGCCUGUUCCAUCCAUGUGUGGAGCUGUAGGCAGGCCAACGAGGCCAUGCGCACGCAAGUAGCGUGCGGGAACGUGUGGAAUGUCACACAUGCACAAUGCGUUCGCCCGCAUGCAUAAAUAGCGCCGAUCGACCAUGGCAUCUCACGGUCCUCAUGGAACGGGAGGUGGUAAUGGAUCGUAGCCAUUAUGUUUCCUUCACAAUUUAACUCAGUUCUAUCCAUAUUUAGCUCAAAAUUAUAUAGUAUUUCGAUCCGAUUUUUAUUAAACCUAAUCUUUAAAUUUGUUAGACUAAAUUAGAAUGCCCUUUACCACCUAGGGAUACGAUGCCCCGCUGCAGAUCGGCUGCACAAUUCGUUUUCCUUUAGUCAGCUGAUAGCUGAAAGCUUUAUAACAAGAGAAUAGCUGCGUGCAUAUUUUUGCAGAGGCUGGAGAUACAUCUCUAUUUUCUGAAAGAAAAUCUAUGUUGUGCAUAAUACUUAUAUGUGCUUAGGAGGUGAAAACAUGGUCUUGUCCAGUCAUCAUUCGUUGAGUCGAGAUGGGAACAGACAACGUGUCAUCUACCGAACACAACGGAUUUCUUCACCCCGCAAAUUAAAGUGUCACCAGUCUGAUCAAAUGAUUGACAGCUGGGAGCGAGCCAGGAAGCUUCGAGUCAUCCGUUUGAUCGGAUGAUCAACAGAUCACACAAAAAGGACGGCCCUGCAUUGGUGGUGGCAGCAUUUGGGAUAGGAUCGAUAUCGUACAAAACCAGGUCUUGUUUAGUUGCUAAAAUUGGGAGUACCAAAAUUACUGUGCCGGCACUGUAGCACACUGUAGCGUUUCGUUUGUAUUUGGGAAUUAUUGUCCAAACAUUGACUAAUUAGGUUUAAAAGAUUCUCUCGCAAAGUACAACAAAACUGUGCAAUUAGUUUUUAAUUUCAUCUACAUUUAGUACUCCAUGCAUGUACCGUAAGUUUGAUAUGAUGGAGAAUCUUCUUUUUACAUAGUGCCAAAGUUGGGAGUUGGGGGUGAAGUAAACAAGGGUCCAAUGACGGAGCUGGCCGAAAAUUUUAGCUGGGGCGGACUCGCACGACGAACAUGAGGGCAAAAAAAAACAUUUGCAUGCGACAUUUAUAUUGAAACCACAACAGUAGUAUCACAAACGGCACAUAUAUGAAGGUUUAAGAUGCCAUAACAUAAUCUUCAACACAUAUUCUACUAAUACAAGAACUAAUCAUGUCUAGGCUUUCUAGGUGGCCUAGGCAAGUCUAUGGCCCGAUUCUUGCUAGCUUGAAAUGUCUUCUUGAUUUCAUCUCCAUCAAUGCCUCAAAAAUUUCCUUCUCAAUGUAGCACAAUAUCAAGCUAUUAAGCCACUCAUCGUUCAUUCUAUUCCGUAGAUCUGUCUUGAUUAUAUUCAUAGCUGAAAAAGCUCUUUCAACAGAUGCUGUUGCUACUGGUAGAAGCAAUGCUAACUUAACGAGCCGAAAGACCAAUGGAAAAGCAAUAUCUCUUUCACGUUUAACCAUUUUUAUAGCCAAACUUCCAAAAUCAGGACAAUCUUUGAAUAAAUAAACUCUUCGCAUAUGUAUGACAAAGGUCUCAAGUUGAUCUCUUAUAUUAGAACGCUCAAUGUCAGUGAAAUCUUGAUCAUAUAUUUCAGUCAAUCGAGCAAUCUUUUCUAUAUCAAACUUAGCAAAAGAAUUUCUUGGAUCCAGACAAGCGAAGGAAACAAGCAACUCUGAUGAUACCUCAUUGAAGCGAUGGUCCAUCUCUGUCAUAAUAGCAUCAAGAGCAGCCAGGAAAGUAUCAACACAGUAAUGAUAUUCUUGAGUGAUUAAGUUACCAUCUAGCCUUGACCGACCCCAUCUAGGUAUUGUCUCAUCCAUGUUUGGCACUGGAAUCUUCUUAUCAUUGCAAAAUGAUAUGACUUCAUCAAGUAAUGGCUGCCAGCCUUCAUUUCUCAAAGUGACCAGCCGUGUUCUCACAUCAAUAAGCAAUGAGAAGGCCUGAACAAUAUUUUGAUCCUUCCUUCGCAGCAAGAGAGACAACUCAUUAGUAAUGCGAAGCACUUUCAACAUGAACUUCAUAUUCAAAACAAAAGAGAAGCUCUCCAUUUUGCGCACCAAACCACCUGCUCGACUAGUAUUACGCUCAUCCUCAUGAACCAUUGACAGCACCUUGACAACAGAAUUCCACAUUGACUCAAUACGAGCUAAUGUUGUUAAAUGAGAACCCCAUCUUGUUUCCCCAGUUCUAACCAAAUUUGUUUUUUGAUGCUUUCCUGAAAAGAUUUCACCACUUUCCAAUCGUUCCAAAAUUUCUUCACGAUGCUUUGCAAUUAGCUUAUUUUUUCUUUUACAUGAUGAACUUGCACUAGUCACAAUUAAGCUCACAUAGUUGAAGAAAUCAUCAAAGGAUGAGCAACUAGAUGUAACAGAAACAAUGACUAGUUGCAAUUGGUGGGCAAAGCAGUGAACAUAAAAAGCAUAUGGGUUCUCAUCACGAAUUAGUUUUUGCAAACCAUUGAAUUCACCUCUCGUAUUUGAUGCUCCAUCAUAUCUUUGUCCCCGUAGUCUACCCAUAGAUAAUCCAUAUUUGGCAAGCAUUUGAAGCAAAGAAUUCUUUAGUGAUUUUGAUGUUGUGUCCUCAACAUGCUUCGGACCCAAAAACCUUUCCACAACCAUUCCUUGUUUGUUCACAAAUCUGCAAAAAAAUGAUAAUAAGCAUUUGAAGCAAAGAAUUCUUUAGUGAUUUUGAUGUUGUGUCCUCAACAUGCUUCGGACCCAAAAACCUUUCCACAACCAUUCCUUGUUUGUUCACAAAUCUGCAAAAAAAUGAUAAUAUUAGUAUUAAUAAACUAGUAUAGCACAGAUGAAUAAUGAAUCUUUCUGAUUUACUCAUGUAACAAACUAACCUUACAAUAACAGCCAUUUGCUCGGCUAUCGAGACAUCACGAGAUUCAUCGAUGAGAACGGAAAAAAGAACGGUAAUGCUUCUUCUGCAUCAGCAACCACAGAUUGAACCUGCUCUUGAUCUUGAACCACACGGUCCACACCUUCAGAUUCCAAAGCAGCCACAUUUUGACUUUCCCUAGUACUUGGGCGCCGGGAGGAACCAGAACCAGAGCCAACACUCAAAUUCGAAAAGAAGCUCUUCAAAUCUACAGAAAUCACAUUGAGCACAUGAAUAAAUGCUAAGAGUUCCAAUUCAAUUGAGAGCAGAGGAUACUUGAUUUGGGGCGACAGGGGCGAUUUGGGGCGCCUCGCCCUCGCCCAACGCCAACGCCGACCGGGACCAUGCUCUGCUGCUCAUCAUCAGAAGCUUCCGGUGCCGCCCCUCUUCCACGGCCGCGCAUUUUCCAUCUCCAUUUCUUUUGAGAAUCUAGCUAGUAUACGUCAUCUGUGCAUCCUCUGUUGAUAUAACGGCUAGAACCAUUUUCGCCUAUUAUAAUCGUAAGAGAAAAGUGAAUGCCUUACCGGUCUGUUAUUCAACAAUUCUUCUGAGCACGUCACGUCAGAUAAAAAAGAAACGGAAACUAGAGUGUCCGAUGCUGUGUUGAAUGUUUGUAGGAUCGAUGACGUAAAACACAUGCACAUCGGCCGUACUUUUCCUCUGUGCUGAAGAACCAGAACACGGCCAGUACUGUGCGGCCAUCUUCUAAUUUCAGUGUUUAAUCUAGUGGCUUUGACAGCUUAUUAUUAACUGAUCUCCCAAAAAAAUCUACAAGAGGCGCAGAUAGUUUGGGAGAUGAGCAAACCACAAAUCAGAACAGAGAACAGAAGAUUUCAGGAUGAGAGGUUAGACAUAAUCUAUUCCAUUCCAAAGCUUUCAACAGCCGAACAAAGCAUAAUUUCUGCUGAUGGAUGGCAGGUAGGUUUAGUCUUGCACACACAUGCAGUAUAUACACAGAAGAAGCGAGUAGUGAUCCUGUACAAAGGCUGGACGAGCUAGCUUCCUAAUCGCCAUUGGAGAUCAGCUAAUAUUCUCCAGGUGAGUACUAGGCACAAUCAUUUACACACAUAACUAGAGAAGAAAGUGAAGGAAUAAUAGCAGCUCUAGCUACAACCGGCGGCGGUCGGAGGAGGCGAGGCCGUCGUCGAAGUUCUGAGAGUAGCUCUGCAGGUCGUACCCGAAGCUCACCGCGGCCCGACGCCUCGGCCGCGCGGCGCGUCUCCUCCUCCACGUGGACCUCAGCCUCGACAGCAGCUGCUUCACCGCCGCCGCCGACCGGCCGCCGCUCCUCCUCCGGCUGUUGCUGCCGCCGGUGUACAGGCCCAGCUGCAGAGACGCCAUCCUCUCCUAGCUCUCUCGAUCAGUCGAUCGCUAACACGAUCACAGUCGGAGCGUUAUGUUAUGAUCAGAACGCAGACUUGUCGCGCUCGCAAGUCGCAACUAGCUGCCCGCGGCCUCUCUGCUCGUAGCUACCUCUGCAAUGAAGCUUCUCAAGACCUUGUGCC
rnacentral:lncRNA from 1 species